rnacentral:lncRNA from 1 species
UUGGCUGCCCACCAUGAACUGCUCAAGUCGGUUAACGCUCCAAGUUAAAAUGUGAAAGCGUCCUCAGGACAUUUGCACCCAAACCUGCAAAACUGCAGUUCCAAACUGUUCGUUGGCGACGAACAGAAGCCAGCACCGGUGAUUCCACACACGCAAAGUCGUCCCAGCAUAUAUAGGUGAGAAGUAGGAUCGAUGUUAAGUUUUAUCUUUUUGGGUCAUUAGUUACGCUCUAUUUGGAUCAUUUGGACUAACAGGUACGGAGUAGUAACUUAAAAAAAAAGACUUCAGUCCAGCCCUCAACUGAUCCAUUACUUGGAUGAACCCGUCUAAGAGCAUCUCAAGAGACUCGUCGUGCUAAUUGGGACAUGGGCUCAGUUAUAACAUUGCUAAGCAUACAAUACAGCCCAGGUCUGAAAGAAUAGUGUCUUGAAGAUCUAUGGGGAUAAUAUCACGUUUUAGGAUUGAGGUUGUUUGUGCAUUGACAUGAGCCAUGUGUUUAGAUGGUGUCACACCCGGGUUCUAAGGAUCCAAAACCCAGACGCGAAAUAAUCAUCAAGUGUGAUGGGAUCAAGUCUCACACAUACACAUAUGAUGACUCAUGAUACAAAAACGAAUGUCACAUUUUUACUAUAUAAUAGAAGUUCUGUACAAAAUAGCUAAAUAAUUAUAUCAUAUGCAGACAACGAUCCAACAACCAUAAAGUUGACGAUGGCCUAGACCACUCACGAACUCAUCAUAGCAUCUUUUGUGCGCCUCCUUCUGUGGUACAUGUUCUUGACCUGGAGGAUGUGAGUAUAUCAAGGGUAAGCUCACAUACGUUCAUCGCUCAACAAGUUUUGGUGAAUAAUGUGUAUGAACUCACCAAAGGUAAGAGCUCAUGUGAAGUGUAAGAUUUACCAAAGGAGAUGGUUAAAGCUGAGCAUUGCUUUUAGAGUUGGUCAAAAUUUUAUUAGCAGUUACUAAGUAUAAGUAGAUACCAAUCCAAAUAAGUAAGAGAUCAAAUUAAUAACAACACCCACAAUGCAAUGCAUAUGACAAAUCAAGUUUAGUUCUAUAGAUUAAUCAUGCGAGAGUCCUGAGCUGCUCAUGACCGCGAGCGCGGCUGAUAUACCAGUUUUACACUCUGCAGAGGUUGCGCCCUUUACCCACAAGUCGUGUAUCCCGUCUAGCCAAGGUUAGCUAGACCCUUAGACACUUCCGAGAUGAAUGACUAGGGAUCCACUACGAGGCCUUUACAAAGUUCCACUAGCUUCAGAAAACCCGUUACAGUUUUUAGGGAGCGCAGUAUAGGAAUCACUCGUCCGAAAAGUCAUCACAGCAUGAUCAACCCGAGAACCUCUCUAUACCGACAACUCCCCUACUACCCUUACCCCUUUUCGGGUAAGGUAAUCCUCCACUAGCUUUCCUAAUUAGUCAGCCAAUGGCGUCCUAUUCCACCCUUGUGGUAGCACGUGUUUCUUAGGUUAAGCUCCAUGUUCCAAUUACACAAUGACCUUGUCAUGAACAAUAAUUAAAACAAUAGUAUAAUUGGAACAUGACCAUAAUGUGAUAUUAAUCUCGAAAUCAGAUAGAGCAAUAUCAAAUGUACCAAAAGUUCAGUGGUAAACAAGGUGUGAGAUAAACAAGUAUAUGGAAACCUAUUAGGUCCCAUCAGAUUAACCUGAGCAUGUCACAAUGAUUAACAUGAACUUUAUUAGGUAAAGAAAAGUGAUCAAGGACAUAACUUGCCUUAGACUCGAGAUUCCAGGUACUUCUCCAAUUUAGUCUUCCAAUUUCUCGUGACCUCACUGCUACUCAUAGCAAAACAUACAAAUAGACAAAGAUUAUAUAAAGAUAACAGUACACCAAACAUGAGAAUAAAUAAUGUAAGAAUAUUCUACACGCCGCUAAGAGAUUGUAGGUUCAAGAACCGCUACAUUCAGAGUUACGGUUAGAAAGAUAUGAUAUUCUAAAGUUUUAGGUGGUUAAACCAGAAACCUUUUAUUCUUUAUUGAUUAAUAUAAGUCAGAAAGUUUAUGACCAAUAAAUAACUAAUUUAUCUUUAAUCUAGUUUAUAACUUGACAAGAGGUUAUAUUUUAGUCAUACUACAAUUAUGGAUAUUUUAAGUUUGUUUUUAGAAGGUUUAAUUCACUAAGCAUAGGUUAAACGAAUAUUUAUUUUUGAAACCAUGUUAUUUGAUAAAGUAACGUUACAGAGGCGUAGUCAACAUUAUUAUGAAGCUAGCGCAACUUGAAUGGAUUAAAUUGAGCUCAAAAUGAAAGAGAUAUAGAUUUAUUAAGUUUUAGGAUUUAAUUCUAUGAUUAUUAAAGAUUUCUGGACCGGGGCACUAUUCUACAAAAGGUCAGGGGCUCCAUAUCAUCUUUAGGACUUAUCCGCAAUGGUUUCUACCCAUACCCGGACUGCGGGUUAAUUUUACUAGACCGGAGGGUUUCUUUUGUAUAAUAGACUCGGAUGUGGAGAAAUUGGGGAGAUCUAAGUCGUUAGAUCUAGAUUUGAUGGCUCGGAUUUAAAUAAACGAAGGGGUAUUCUGGUUGUAAUCUGGACCGUUCCCUAUGAGAUCAAUGGCCAAGAUACCAGGUAGACAGGGUAUGCUAGGGAUCUAAUCUCAUCCAUUGGUGCCUAAUCCAACGGUUCACGAGCAUCUUCCUCACCUCAAACCCUUGAAAGUCGCCUAGAAGGGGGUGAAUAGGCGAAACCUGAAAUUUAUAAACUUUAAAUACGCAUUAAGGUCGGGGUUAGCGUUAGAAUUAAAUUGGAGUUUGAAAGAUAAUUCUCCUUGCUUAGAUUUGCUCAAUCAAUGCGAAUAAUGUAACACCCCAGGUGUUUAUAUUCCGCUCGACAACGAGUACGGAUUUAAGCACGCAAUAUCAGUGGAUAACACAGAUUUUAAAUUUUAAACAUCUUCUUCUAUCGCGAUUUUUAUAUCGCAUCGGUGUCGUCUGUCGCGAGCGUGACAUCGUUUUUAUUUCCAUCUAUCCGGGCUCUUCCAAAAUUUUUAUGUUAUUCGGCACAUAGCUGUUCCGAAAAUCGGUGCGUCCGGUGAUUAUUUAAAAUUCAUCGCUCGCGUGAACAAGAAUUUGGAAGCCCGAACUCACUCGGAUGAUUUUAUCCCGGAUAAAUUAAUUUGAACUCGGCAACUAAAUGUUGGGGGCAAAAUAAUUUGUAUCGCGUGUUGUCUGAGAAAAAUCGUGCGUGAGGUUAUAAUCCAAUUUAUUCUUCAGCACGCUGUUUCGAAGACAAAAUCGCGUAUACGUUCGCAGAUAUUGUUUCGGCUAAUUUUGGUCGAAUCCCGCCGAACAAAUUAUCAGUACCGAAAUCAGUUUAUUUCGGUCUGUCGUUUCUUGUCCGAUCCAAAACUUUGGAUAUAAAUGACGGGUGUAAAUUCAUCUGAUUCCAAGUAUUCACUUAAUCAAAGUCGUGACGGCGCGUCCAAGAAUUAUAAUUGAGACCCGAUUAUCACACAAAUUGUCAUGGAAUCAGAUGUUCAGACCACAGGUAAAUUUCUCAGAAUUUGAAUCGAAUCAAACUGUGUCGCAAAUAUUGUCGAUCUUUUCGUUAUCGCUAAAAAUCGUGAUCGAAAUAUCAGUAAUUCUCUAUAAAAAGGAGAAGAAAUAAAAGAAAAAAAAAAGAAAAUAAAAAAACCCCACCGCUCUUCCUUCUUCCCCUGGUAUUUCUUCGAGUCAAUUCCUUUGCAACCAUUAUAAAAGAUCCAAAUUCCAUAUGAACCACUGGAAUUUCUACCGUUCGUCCCAUGCCAUUGUCCAAGAUUUUUCAUCCCGUUUAAACCACUGCCGUCUCUUUUCGUGGUAACGGACGUUAACAGCAGCGAGGAAGGUCCGUUUUGCCCUUGGCGACUUGAGUCAAGUCCUUGUUGUUCAGGCCGCCGCCGCUCCCAGUUCUCCCGUGAGGCUCUUCUCUCGUUCGUGUCCCCCUGUUCUCCCCGCCGAACCCUAGAUUCACAGCACCAAGGAUGGGUUAAGCGAGGAUGGGGAAUCAUGGUGGAGGACCAGGGUCCGGAUUGGCGGGCGACAUGGCACCGAUGAGGUCCGACGACUGGCCUUCAUGGCUUCCAGAUGGGUAAGUGUGCCUCUCAUCAGUCUUCCUCAGCUGACCAGUGGUUGGGGCGGAGGGCGGAGGCGGGAGGCGCCGGGGAUCGGGGCCUGUGGGCUCGGGGUCGCGGCCGCGGCGGUGGGGGCUCGAGGCAGGAGCUGCGGCGGCGGGGGCUCGGGGUUGGGGCCACGGCAGCGGGGGUCGGGUUCAGGAGCCAUGGCAGGGGCUCGGGGCCACGGCGGCGGGGGUCGGGCUCAGGUCGGGAGCCGCGGCGGGGCUCGGGGUCAGGGCCGCAGCGAUGGGGGCUCAGGGUUGGAGCCACGGCAACUGGUAGGCCUCGGUGGCAGGGCUCUGUGUUCAUCUGAUUGAGUGUGUUUGACUCUGUGUUCAUCUGUAGGAUGGACCCAAAAACAAGCUUCAAUUUAGAAUUCAGGAUAUUCGCUACAAAAUCACGUUUCCCAUGGUUUUUGCACACUGAGCUUGUAGAUUCUGACAUUAUGAAUUACAAAGAUCUGCUUGAUGAAAUCAUGAGGAAGUACCCUUGUUCUUACGGGGAGGUGGUGAAAAUGUAUUAUUACUGUGCUGAGUCCAAGUCCAACAUUGAGGUUUGCUGUGAUGAAGACCUAGUUAAUAUGUUUCAGAAAAAUGCAUCCACUAAGACAUGUCAUAUUUCCAUUGCUCACUAUGACCCUAGUACUGAACCACCAGCCAUACCACUAUGGGAUGUAACAUAUGCUAAGGCAGUGGAAAUCCCUUGCACAUCAUCAAUGCCAGCUCCAACUCAAUCUUUAGAUGAACCAAGCCAACAACCAGAGGAUGAUGACAAGUACCUGCAAAACCCUGAACCAGAAAAUGAAUAUGUUGGUGUCGAUGAAGAAGGCAUGUACAUUGACUUAGGACCACAGGUUCAGGGAAAUGCAGACCAAGAGGAUGAGUAUAUUCCUGAGACUGACUCUAACUUGGAUUCUAACUUUGAAUCUGAUGGUUCUGAUGAUGAGAUGGUGGAGGAUAAUGUUCCACCCCACACAGCCGAAGCAGUGUAUGACAAAGCUGACCCACCUAUGGAAGUAGGAAGCAUAUAUCCAAACAUGAAUGCAUUUAGAUUGGCUUUAGCUACUCAUACAAUCAAGAAUGAGUUUGAAAUUGACAUUGAGAAGAGUGAACCAGGGAGGUACAGGGCUUACUGCUGUGGGAGAAUUGAGGGUUGUAAGUGGAGGAUUCAUGCUUCAACUAUGGGAGACAAUAAGACAGUGAAGGUAACUGUCAUAAGUUGUGUCCAUUAGUUUGUUGUGUAUCUGAAUUCUUAUGUUGAACACAUGUUUUUAUGUGCAGGUGAAGAAGAACCCACAUCUGCAUGAGUGCCAUAGUACAAGGAGAAAAGGUCAGGUGAAGGGUGCAACCAAACAUUGGGUUGCUGAUACAGUGAGAGAUUGGUUAGUGGACAAUCCAAGGUUGACUCCAAAGGCCCUUCAACAGAGGAUAAAAGAUGAGUUCAAGGUAUGGGUGCACUACAAGAGGGUUUACCAUGGUAAAGAACUAGCUAUGACUCAAUUAUAUGGUGACUGGAGGGAGAGUUUUGACAACCUAUAUAGGUUCAAGAAGCAAAUAGAAGAAUCUUGCCCUGGUAGUUUAGUUGUUAUUGAUCAUCACACCAUCAAUAAGAAGAUUAAGUUCAACAGGCUAUUUUUUGCCAUGAAACCUUGCAUUGAUGGUUUCCUUCAAGGAUGUAGACCCUAUUUAGCUAUUGAUAGUACAUUUCUAACUGGAAAGUUUAGGGGUCAGCUAUGUGUGGCUUGUGCAGUAGAUGGACACAACUGGAUGUAUCCAGUUGCAUUUGGAGUUAUAGAUUCUGAGACAAGUGAAAAUUGGUCCUGGUUCAUGGAGAAACUCAAAGAAGCUAUAGGUACUCCUCUUGGCUUGACCAUUAGCACAGAUUGUGGUCAGGCAAUCAUGGGAGCUGUGAGUGAGGUUUUCCCAACAGCAGAGCAUAGAGAGUGCAUGUGGCAUCUAGUUCAAAACUUCAAGAAAAGGUAUACGGGCAAGGUCUUUGACGAUCACCUGUGGGCAGCAGCGUAUUCUUGGAACACAUACAUGUUUGAGAAGCAUUACAAAGCUAUGGCUGAAGCUAAACCUGAGGCAGUGGGAUACUUGCAGGAAUGUCACAGUAAGCUUUGGACUAGGAGUCAAUUUUCUACCUUGUCAAAGGUAGACUAUGUGACAAACAAUCUUGCUGAAGUCACAAACAAAUGGCUCAAAGCUGAGAAGGCCAAACAUCUGGAUGAUUUGUUGGACAGUAUUAGGCAAAAGAUUUUGAUCAAAUGGAACCAGAGGAGAAAGAUAGCAAGGCAGAUGGAUGGAAAGAUUCUUGACCACAUCACUAAGAAGCUGAGAGAACAUACCAGGAACCUUGACAUUGAUGUUAUAACUAGCAAUGAUAAUGUUGCAGAAGUGGUUGCUAGGGGUGGAAGUAGUUUCAGAUUUGUAGUGAACUUAGAUGAGAGGACAUGUUCAUGCAGGGCAUGGCAGGUGUCUGGCAUACCAUGCAAGCAUGCAAUAGCAUUCAUCACAUCCAUCAGAAAUGAGAAGCUUGAAGACCAUGUGGAUCAUUACUUCUCUGUAGAAAAGUUCAGAGCAGCAUAUGAGGGCACAAUUCCUGCUAUACCAGAUAAAUCUAUGUGGCCUAAGUCUGAUCAUGGGUUUUUCAUGCAUCCUCCCCUACUGAAAUCAACAGCUGGAAGGAGAAAGGAAACAAGGUAUAAGGGAUACAGUGAGGGUGGUAGGGGCAACAAGGGCAGGCACCAAUGCCCAAUUUGUCAUGAAUAUGGUCAUCACUGGUAUACUUGCAAGGAUGGAGACCCAUCUGACAUAGCAGCUAUGCUUGCUGAUAGGUAAAUUUGUUAUUAAUAUGGUACUCACAUAGAAAUUUGCAUUACUUAACAAGCUAAUCCUAUUUGUAGGGGACCACCAAAGAGGAAGAAGAAGCAAGUAAUGCCAGCAUCUACUGAGACAAGCAUUGUACCUGUGUCAGCACCAAGAAUGGUUUUCCCUGAUCUUGGCCUCACACCUCCAGUUACAAAGAAGAAAAAGAGCUCAUCCACUACAUCAAAGGCUGCCAAGAAGAAGAAGAGCUCAGCCAUGUCUGUUAGGUUGGUGCAAUACUUGUUUGUACAGCAGUCUGUUAUUACUCCUAACCUUCACUCAUGCAUAUUAUUCUUGCUACAAGAUCUGGACAAGGCUCCAACCAGCCAGACCCUAUGCCUUUGUCUAUCAUGAUGCCAUCAAUGGAGGUUGCAGACAAGGAAGAGAAUCAAGAAACAAAAAAAGAGGUGGCAGGACAUGGGAAGAAAAAUAAGAGAGAGCCAGAAGUCAUCGGAUCUCCUGCAAUGGGAACUAGAAGCAAAGCCAGUUGCAGUGGCAGUCCUGCCAUGGGAACUAGAAGCAAAAGAAAGCUCAAUGUCUAAUUGGAACUAGGUAGUCUUUUGUACUAUUUUUUGGGUCUACUUGACUAGAAUUGUGUUAAUGUAGUGCUGUGGUCUGUAUGACCAAAACUGUGGCAUUCUAUGACCAAAACUGUGAUGCUAUGGUCUGGAUGGCCAAAACAUUGAUGUAUGGUCUGUAUAACCACUUGUGUUUUCAAUUUGCAUUACUUUGCCAUACAUCUGGACACUGUUUAUGCCAUACAUGUGGAUACUGUUUAUGUCAUACAUCUGAAUACUGUUUAUGCCAUACUGGGCAUUGGUUCUAGCACCAAGGUUUGGCGCCAAAACCAGAGCAGAGGGUCUGCCUCCUGUGGCAAGAAAGGGAAGAUCCAAUUUCUUUUUCACGGACCAAACCAGGGGCACACUGGUCCUUUCGUAAUCCUGUUACCAUCCGUUAGCACUAAAUGGGACGGCAGUGGUUUAAACGGGAUGAAAAAUCUUGGACAAUGGCAUGGGACGAACGGUAGAAAUUCCAGUGGUUCAUAUGGAAUUUGGAUCUUUUAUAAUGGUCGCAAAGGAAUUGACUCUAUUUCUUCACUCAUCUGUCUCACACAGAUUUCUUUUCACGGUCAUCCUCAUCUACUGCCGCCAUUCUCUGAUAUUUUUCACCACCGCGUACAACCGGAGAUUUUAUCCUGUGGCCGGUUCUAUAUCUUCCAGAUCGUUGCUUCUCCCUGCCUCUCCCCAUUGCCGACGUUCUUCUUCGUUUUGCCGCUGCUGGAGCUCUGGGUCCAUGCGCGCAACCUCCUCUGUGUCGCGCCUGAUCCAUCUCCCUUGUUGUGCGCUCCUCUGCCGGUGGUGGCUGCCGCGGGCUCUCCCUGGCUCGUCGGCCUGCAGCUCGCCCAGCCCAGGGCCACGGGCUACAGCCGUUCGUCUCCCCCCGAGCUCCCUGUUUCUCUGCGCUGUUUGCUCCCUCUCUCUCUCUUGUCUUCUUCCCCGCGCGCCGGCUCCCUGCGUCGCGAACUCCACAUCCCAUCGCCAAGCCGUGUCCUAGCUUCCUGUUGCCGCUCCCUAUGGCCGAGCCCAACUCCUUGCCGUGCGGCUCCCUACUCGCUCCGUGUUGCGCGCUCUCCUUGUAUUCAUGGCGGCCACUUCCUGCUAGCCGUGCGCGCGCUGGCCGGCGUUCGGUGUCUGGCUCGCCGCGCGUCCAAGCCUCUCCUUCCUCCUCCUGUAGCUCGCCCUGUACGUCUUGCUCACCCUCCAGCUCGCUUGGUCCCUGCGCGCGUCGAACUUCUGCUCGGCGUCCAGCUUCUCUGUUUCCUGACCCGCGCGACCAGCCGAGUCCGACUCCGCCGUGAGCUCGUCCCUGGCGCUCGACGCGCAGUGGCGCAGCUCGCGGAGCUCUCUUGUCGUGGCCGUCGCGUCCCUGCGCCUAGCCUUUAGUUCAGUCUCUAUGCGCGCGAAGCUCGCCGGUGUGCUGCUAGUCUAACUUAGAUCUCGCCCAUGGCGUCGAUCUAUCCGUCCUACCGUCGCUCAGCUCGUGCGCGCCCUGUGUAUUUUUCCUGCUUGGCAUACUCCCUCGCUGGUGGGCGAGCAUCUCACUCAUGGUGCCCAGCUCGCGUCCACCUCCGUUGAUUGUUGACAUCGUGCGCUCGGCUUCUCUGGCGCCGAUUCGCGCUCGCUCAUGUCCAUCGUCGUGUCAUCGCUGCUCGUACCCCGCUUGUCGGCCACCAUAUCCAACUUCCACAGCAACGUUGUUGUUCUCUCUUUGGUGCUCGUUGCCGACUCCGCUACCUGUUUGAACUGGAGUUCGUCGUCAUCUUGCCCAUGCCGUGACCGCAAUUUCCUGUAUCCCUUGUCCACAUCAUCGUUCAGUUCCCUCGCUUCGACGCCAGUCCCUACGUGAUGCCUUCAAAUUGUGAUCGCGCGGACAAAAGGAUCCCCAAGAGAAGAUGUCCAAAGAUCGGAUGGUGGUGUACGUGAAGUUCGUGUGGCCCCUGCCAAGCGCUCGACAAAUUGCCUGGAUCGGAAAAUCGCUACCGAUCUCACGGAUUCGUGUCAGCUGUUGAAACGGUAAGCUGAUAAAUUAUUCAGAAUAAUUCGAUCGUUGAAUAAAAUAAUGUGUUAGGGCGAGGCUUAUUAAGGUGCUCGAUAAAUUGCGUAAGUCACGAAACUCUCGUCGACUUCGCAGUUCUUGCGAUUAUCGAGCCAGGUUCCGUUAUAGCGAGUUCUUUCGCUAUUCCGGUCAAUUAGCUGAAUUAAUGUACCGAGUAGAAUAUUGGUAGGUGUAACACCCGGUUUUAAAGGACAAAGCCGGGUGCAUCUCAUACAUGCGCCAAGAAGACAACACAUAUAAUAACAGAGUGUAUAGAGAUAAAUGUCAUAAAACAUCAGAGUAUUUAUUACAUAGCGGAAGACUUAUUACAAAAUAAAGAUAAAUAUAAAACAAACUAAGGAUCGUCGGCGCCAAUGUCGACUGAGAAACGCCACCUAGAUCAGAUCAAACUCCUCGAUACUUGGCUCCACUUGAACCACCUGUUCUUCUCCUGUGGGGGGGGGGGGGGUGUGAGACAGCAAGAGUGAGCUCACAUACGUUCAUCGCUCAACAAGUCGUGGGGAAUAAUGUGGCAUGAACUCACCAAAGGUGGGAGUUCAUGAAGUGUAAGGCUAAUCAAUGAAAUAAAGGCUGAGGCUGAGCAUUGCUUUUAUAAGUUGGUCAAAAUUUUAUUAGCAAUUACUAAGUGUAAGUAAAUACCAAACCUUAAUAGUAAUAAAGAAAAGUAAUAGUAAAAUAAUCCCAAUGCGAUGCAAAUGUCAAAUUGAAUUUAAGUUCCAUAAUUAAUCAUGUGAGGGUCCGAGCCGCUCAUUACCGUGAGCACGGCUAGUAUACUAGUUUUACACUCUGCAGAGGUUGCGCGUAAUACCUACUUUGUAAGAAAAAUCUAAAAGGAGAAAUGAAAUUCAUGUAUAUAUGUAUGUAUGUUAUCUCUACUUGUCAUUUCAUGUGGACACCUCACCUAUACAAAUGAAUAAGUAAUAAAAGGCACUCAAACAAAUUAUGCAUCAUGCUGGUAUUUUAUUUUGUGUGCACUUUGUGACAACAUAGAAUAAUGUGAAAAGAAUUAUAUUAAUACCCAAAUGGGAAUUUAAGAUCUAAAAGAAAUUCUAGGAUUUGGAAAGCAAGAAAGGAAGAAAAUGAUAGGUGAGUAAAAAUAGUAUAUAAAAAAAUAAUAAUAAUCAUAAAAAUAUUAUCCCUAUACUAGGAAUUAAAUGUGUACAUUUACUCAAAGGUGCAACUCAUAAAAAUAUUCAAAUUCAAAUGAAUUAGGAAUAAAGAAGAAAGCAGGAAAAAAAAGAAAAAGGAAAAACAAACCCCCAACUGGGCUCACUCUGGCAAUUUCGGCCCAACACCAUUUUUACUCCGCGCCAGCCCACUCUGCUCCUCUUCCUUUUCUUUUCCUGUUGAGACACUUCCAGGUGGGACCAACUCGUCAGAUGCCUUCACUUCAUCUGCGUCGCGCGCUCACAGGCACUGGGUCGCUGACCGUGGGCCCUCUCUGUCGGGUCUAUCCUCCCCACGGAGAUCUCGCUCGCCCGCUUCAAGCUCGCUUCGGUUGACCGUCCAACGGCCGCCGUGCAUGGCGCACUCGCCCCUGUUGACCAUACCCCUGGCCCUACAUACUGGGCGCCCCUAUCUCUACUCCAAAUGGCCUGCUCCGCAAGAAGCCGAGUCCUCUCAUCCACACCGUGCGCCGCCGCCAGACUAUUAGAACUGAUCCGCCGUCGACGAUUCCCGAUUUCCUUCGCUGUGGUGACCUCGGUGCCGACCUGGGAAGCUUCGGAGACUCAGAGCGGAACCAAUCGUGACCACGAUAAGGGCUGGGAGCGUUCUCGGGUCCCCGGAAUUUCUCGCCGAGGCUCUAGCUCCGCCGCAUCACCGCCGCCGUGCGCCAUUAGCGAAUGGGAGAAUUCGCCGUCGCAUCUUCACCAUAUGGUGGCCGCCGGGGAGACCACGUCGUCGGGGACUCUGGGUUCUCCAUUGCCGUGCGCCAGUACUGGAGUGAGGCUCCUCGCCUCUACCUCGCACCGGCGGAUCUCGUGCUGUUGGGCGCGACCAUCGGAUAAUGGUGAAGAUGUCGGAUUUCGGCGCCCGGUUGUGAACUGCGCUCCAAGGUCGGUCGGCUCUCCUCCAUCGGUGGUGAGUACAUUUCCCUCUCCCAAGCCGCCAGUGCCGGUGUGCUGUUUCCUGGUACCGGCGUCGUGUACGUAGGUAGAUGUGGGUAGCGGCGUAAGGAAGAAGAAAACUCCUAGUCGCUGGAAUCUAGAUGUAGGGCUGAGAUUAAAACCUGGAGUAGCAUUUUGCUUUGUAAAGUUUUGGCCGUCGGUGUGAUAAUCUAUGGCUUGGGUUUGGGGAAAGAACUAUGUCCGUAGAUUGGGUUGCCAACGGUUAGGAUUAGAAGGCAUUUACCUCUUUUGGAUUAUUUGAAUCUGUGCCAUCAAUCGUCAAUCGUGCGGUCCGCACUGAUUAUGGGCUCGGUAUCGAUCUAGGCCAUCCGAUCUUGAUCCAGUGGCCCAUAGCGCGUAUCGUUUUGGGGAAUAGAAGAUCUAAUCCGGAGCGUCGAUUGGGGAUCAGACGGCUAGAGUUUACCCGUACCCCUUCGCGGGUCCAUUUUACUUAAGAGCCCCUCGGUUUCAUUGAAAUAAACCCGCCGUCCUACUGCAUAGUGUUCUGAGUCUUAGGAUCUUUUGCGCCUGGGCCCCUGCUGUUCUCAGAAAUGAAGGCCCAGUCCAGAGCUGUUUAAAAUGGAAUAAUUAAAUUGGAAAAUAGGUUUUUAAUACAAAAAUAUAUGCUAGAACUUCAAUAAUUCAUAGAAAAUUCAUAUGAUAUCCAAAAUAAUCCAUUCCACUUUCUAAAUUUUUGUAAUUUUAUUAUUUAUCACUUAGAGCCUCUGUUUGGUCAUGAAAACAGUAAGAAAAGUUAUUUCCCACUUAAUCCCAUUUUAAACACAUAAAAUCUUUGAAAAUCCAUAACUUAAAUUCUAUAACUCCAAAAAUUAUGAUUCCUGUUCCUAGAAUUAUAUUUUAAUAUGUAGAAUAUUGCUGUGUAUUUUGUUCACAUGCUUGGUGUGAUGUUAAUUUUCCCCUGUAUAUUGUGCUUGUUGUAUUGUGGCGAGUAGAAGAGCCCGUGACUGAGGACCCUGGUGAGCAGCAGGUUGAAGUAGCUGAGCAGGAGCUCAUUGAAGGCAAGUUGUGCCCUUGACCACUUUUUACCCAAUAAUGUUCUUUAAUAUCACUUAUCCAUGCAUAGGUUAAUUUUGAUGGGACCCAAUAGGUCACCCUAGAUUGUUUAUCUCAUUACCUUGUUUACCCCUGAAUCACUUGGGUAGUUUGCUAUUGCUUUAUAUGGUUUUGGGAUAAUCAUUUAUUACCUCUAUGUUCCAAUUCUUGUUGUUAUUCUAUUUAUGUUCAUGAUGUUAUCAUUAAUGUUAAUUGGAACAUAGAGCUUAACUUGAGAACCACGUGCCACCACAAGGGUUUAAUGGGACGCCCUUGGCUGACUAAUUAGGAAAUCUAGUGGAAGACUACCUUACCCGAAAGGGGCAAGGACAGUAGGGGAGAGGUCAGUGCGGGGAGGUCCCUGGUUGAUUUUGCUGCGAUGGCGGUCAGCCAGGAACCCUGUACUGGAUCUUCCCAUAAACUGUAGCGGGUUUUCGGAAGCUAGUGGAACUUUGUAAAGGCCUCGUAGUGUUGCCCUGCCGCGCUUCCUAGGUAGAGGUGUAUGGGAUUCAUGACCCCUUGGCAGAUGGGUAACAUGACUUGUGGGUAAAGGGUACAACCUCUGCAGAGUGUAAAACUGGUAUACUAGCCGAGCUCACGGUCAUGAGCAGCUCAGGACUCUCUGAUGUUUAAAUUAUGGAACUUAAAUUCAAUUUUGUCAUUUGCAUUGCAUGGGUUUGUUAUUAAUUUUGUUCUAUUACUUUACUUAUGGUUUGGUAUUUACUUACACUUAGUAACUGCUAAUAAAAUUUUGACCAACUACUUAAAAGCAAUGCUCAGCUUUAACCCCUAUCAUUGAUCAGCCUUACACUUCACAUGAGCUCUCACCUUUGGUGAGUUCAUGUCACAUUAUUCCCCACAACUUGUUGAGCGAUGAUCAUGUGUGAGCUCACCCUUGCUGUCUCACACCCCCCCCACAGGAGAUGAUCAGGUGGUUCAGGAGGAGCCGCCUAACACUGAGGAGUUCGAUCUGAUCUAGGUGGCGUUUCCCAGUCGACAUUGGCGCCAACGAUCCUUAGUUCGUUUUAUAUUUAUCUUUAUUUUGUAAUAAGACUUCCGCUAUGUAAUAAAUACUCUGAUGUAUUAUGACAUUUAUCUCUAUACACUCUGUCAUUAUAUAUGUUGUCUUCUUGGCGCAUGUAUGAGAUGCACCCGGCUUUGUCCUUUAAAACCGGGUGUUACAGAAGUGGUAUCAGAGGAAAUGUUGACUGUAGGACGAGACCUAGAUAGAAAUGGACAAACCCUUGACUACUUACCUUACUCUGAUUCAUUCUAUACUUACCUUAUCUUGAUCCUGUCUCACCUUCUACUGUUCUACUCUAAUCAUUCUUACCUUUUCUACUCUAAGACAAGAUGGAUUUCAUACCUUGGAAUCCUACAUUUGCGAACUUUUUAAGAGAUAGGGACCUAAGACGAAAUUAAAAUUAUUUUCUCUAUUAAAAAUGUUGGUUGAUUGUUCUGAUGAUCAAUGCUUGAUUUGCUUCUUUGAUUGAUUGAAAUAGUAUAGACGGGCAUCUUAGCAUGUACCACCAUAAGGUAAUGAAUUAGUUUUAGUAGGCGACACACUCAGCUAAUAAAUCCCCAAAGUAACACGCCUCGUAAUUACAUGCCUUGUCUACACUCCUUCCUUUCGUACCUUAUGUUUCUAACCCAGAUGGGCUACCGCUAUAGUGUUAGAAGAGAGCACUAUAGACGUGAUCCUUGGUAUGUCAUGGUUAAGAAAGGCAAAGGCGGUUUAUUCACUGUGCUAAAGGAACCGUAGAACUCACCAAUUCCAAAGGACAAAGAUUUGAAGUUGAAGUUGCAGUAGCUACCACCAUCAAACUAGUGGCAUUCUUAGUAGAUGGGAAGUUUGUGGGUGACAACAUCCAUGUGGUUAGAGAUUUUUCCGGAUGUCUUUCCAAAGGAGUUACCAGGGAUGCCACCAGAUAGGAAAGUUGAGUUUGUAAUUGAUCUUCUACCUGGAACUGCUCCUAUAUCUAAACGGCCAUACAAGAUGUCUAUAGAAGAGUUAAAGGAACUUAAGAAACAAUUAACGGAGUUACAAGAGGCUGGGUAUACUCGUUCGGAUUCUUCACCUUGUGGAGCGCCAGUUCUGUUUGUACAGAAGAAAGAUGGAUCACAAAGGAUGUGUGUGGAUUAUAGGUCCCUUAACGAUGUCACUAUGAAGAACAAGUGUCCAUUACCCCGCAUUGAGGAUUUAUUUAAUCGGAUGAGAGGUGCUAGAGUAUUCUCGAAGAUUGAUCUCCGAUCCGGUUACCAUCAGAUGAGGAUUAGACCAUCGGAUAUUUCCAAGACGGCUUUCUCGACUCGAUAUGGAUUAUAUGAGUUUACUGUUAUGUCGUUUGGAUUAACCAAUGCACCAACUUACUUUAUGAACUUGAUGAAUAAGGUGUUUAUGGAGUAUUUGGACAGAUUCGUCGUGGUAUUCAUCGACGAUAUUCUUAUUUAUUCUCAGAGUGAUAGCGAUCAUGAGGAACAUCUAAGGAUGGUGCUACAGAAGCUACGAGAUAACCAGCUAUAUGCCAAGUUCAGCAAGUGCGAGUUUUGGAUUGACGAGGUGCCAUUUCUUGGUCAUAUUAUUUCCAAUGGAGGAAUUUCAGUGGAUCCUGCUAAGGUUAAGGAGAUAAUGGAGUGGAGAGUACCCACUACAGUUACUGAGAUUCGGAGUUUCUUGGGACUUGCUGGAUAUUAUCGGAGAUUUAUUGAAGGAUUUUCUAAGAUUGCUAAGCCUAUGACUUCGCUUUUGGAGAAGGGAAAAGAAUUUAAGUGGGACGAGAAGUGUCAAGACAGCUUUGAUCUAUUGAAGAAGAGGUUGAUGUCGCCACCGGUAUUAGUUAUGCCAGACCUACAGAAAGGAUUUGAUAUCUAUUGUGAUGCAUGUGGCCAAGGCUUAGGAUGUGUGCUCAUGCAAGAAGGACAUGUGAUUGCCUAUGCUUCUCGUCAGUUACGCAAACAUGAAUUGAACUACCCCACUCAUGACUUAGAACUGGCAGCCGUUGUGCAUGCUCUUAAGAUAUGGAGACAUUAUAUCAUGGGAACCAAGUGUCAAGUAUGCAUGGAUCAUAAGAGUUUGAAGUAUAUAUUCACUCAAAAGGAUCUCAACCUUAGGCAACGCCGUUGGUUGGAGCUUAUUAAGGAUUAUGAUUUGGAGAUUCACUAUCACCCGGGCAAGGCAAAUUUGGUUGCAGAUGCCUUGAGUCAAAAGGAGCAUGUUCAUUCAGCUGUUGUUGCCCAGCUACCCGAUGAGAUUGUUGAGGAUUUUAGGAGACUUAACCUGGGGAUAGUUGCUCACACUGAAGGAGUUAUUGAUGUGGAACCUACCUUGGAGCAAGAAAUCCGCAGAAGGACAGAUUGGUGAUGCUAAGAUACAAGAAAUUAGGGAUCUGAUUACUGAAGGUCGAGGUCCAAAAUUCACGGAAGAUGAACAAGGCACUGUGUGGUUCAAGGACAGGAUAUGUGUUCCUGAUAUUGAAAGCCUUCGUGAGACUAUUUUAAAGGAGGCCCAUGACUCGGAUAGUUCUAUUCAUCCUGGCAGUACCAAGAUGUAUCAGGAUUUGAAGCGGAAGUAUUGGUGGUAUGGAUUGAAGAGAGAUGUAGCUGCACAUGUGGCUAUGUGCGAUGUAUGUCAAAGGGUUAAGGCUGAACAUCAGAGGCCAGCUGGACUAUUGCACCCACUGAAGAUACCCGAGUGGAAAUGGGAAGAGAUUGGUAUGGAUUUCAUUACUGGAUUGCCUCGCACCCAGAAAAGAUAUGAUGCUAUAUGGGUGAUUGUGGAUAGAUUGACUAAAGUGGCUCACUUUAUUCCUGUGAAGACUACUUAUAAAGGUUCUCAGCUAGCAGAGUUAUAUAUGGCUCGGAUUGUGUGUUUACAUGGAGUACCAAAGAAGAUCGUGUCUGAUCGAGGUUCACAGUUUACCUCAAGAUUUUGGAGAAGCUUUCACGAGAACAUGAGUACAAAGUUGAAUUUUAGUACGGCUUAUCACCCUCAGACUGAUGGACAGACUGAAAGGACUAAUCAAGUAUUGGAAGAUAUGUUGAGAGCAUGUGCCCUUCAGCAUGGAGGAAGUUGGGAUAAAAGUCUACCUUAUGCUGAGUUCUCUUAUAACAAUAGCCAUCAGGCCAGUCUGAAGAUGUCACCUUUUGAAGCUUUAUAUGGGAGGAAAUGCAGGAUUCCUCUAUUUUGGACCAGACUAGAGGAAGACAGUUCUUUGGACCUGAACUUAUUCAAGAGGCAAAAGAACAAGUUUGUAUAAUUCGAGAGAAUUUGAGGGUAGCUCAGACCAGGCAAAAGAGCUACGCUGAUAAUAGAAGAAGACCACUGGAGUUUAAGGAAAGAAAUCAUGUGUACCUUAAGGUUUCACCACUUCGUGGAAUGAGGAGACUCAAAGUUAAGGGCAAAUUGUCCCCUCGCUAUAUUGGACAUUCUGAGUUUUUUUAGGCAAGUUGGAGAGAUGGCCUAUCAACUUGAGCUACCUGAUAAUCUAUUUGAUGUGCAUAAUGAAUUCCAUGUGUCUCAACUUAAGAAGUGUCUCUGUGCCCCUGAGAAACAGUUACCAAUGGAAGAGCUCAGUGUUCAAGGUGAUUUGACUUACACGGAGUGCCCGAUCAAGAUUCUUGAUACAUUGACUCGAGUUACAAGAAAUAAGGUGAUAAAGAUGUGCAAAGUGCAAUGGAGUCACCACGGUGAAGAUGAAGCAACUUGGGAAAGAGAAGAAGAGCUUCGCAUAGAUUUUCCCCACCUUUUCCCUAGAUCUACCUAAAUCUCGAGGACGAGAUUAUUUUUAAGGGGGGUAGGAUUGUAAUACCUACUUUGUAAGAAAAAUCUAAAAGGAGAAAUGAAAUUCAUGUAUAUAUGUAUGUAUGUUAUCUCUACUUGUCAUUUCAUGUGGACACCUCACCUAUACAAAUGAAUAAGUAAUAAAAGGCACUCAAACAAAUUAUGCAUCAUGCUGGUAUUUUAUUUUGUGUGCACUUUGUGACAACAUAGAAUAAUGUGAAAAGAAUUAUAUUAAUACCCAAAUGGGAAUUUAAGAUCUAAAAGAAAUUCUAGGAUUUGGAAAGCAAGAAAGGAAGAAAAUGAUAGGUGAGUAAAAAUAGUAUAUAAAAAAAAUAAUAAUAAUCAUAAAAAUAUUAUCCCUAUACUAGGAAUUAAAUGUGUACAUUUACUCAAAGGUGCAACUCAUAAAAAUAUUCAAAUUCAAAUGAAUUAGGAAUAAAGAAGAAAGCAGGAAAAAAAAGAAAAAGGAAAAACAAACCCCCAACUGGGCUCACUCUGGCAAUUUCGGCCCAACACCAUUUUUACUCCGCGCCAGCCCACUCUGCUCCUCUUCCUUUUCUUUUCCUGUUGAGACACUUCCAGGUGGGACCAACUCGUCAGAUGCCUUCACUUCAUCUGCGUCGCGCGCUCACAGGCACUGGGUCGCUGACCGUGGGCCCUCUCUGUCGGGUCUAUCCUCCCCACGGAGAUCUCGCUCGCCCGCUUCAAGCUCGCUUCGGUUGACCGUCCAACGGCCGCCGUGCAUGGCGCACUCGCCCCUGUUGACCAUACCCCUGGCCCUACAUACUGGGCGCCCCUAUCUCUACUCCAAAUGGCCUGCUCCGCAAGAAGCCGAGUCCUCUCAUCCACACCGCGCGCCGCCGCCAGACUAUUAGAACUGAUCCGCCGUCGACGAUUCCCGAUUUCCUUCGCUGUGGUGACCUCGGUGCCGACCUGGGAAGCUUCGGAGACUCAGAGCGGAACCAAUCGUGACCACGAUAAGGGCUGGGAGCGUUCUCGGGUCCCCGGAAUUUCUCGCCGAGGCUCUAGCUCCGCCGCAUCACCGCCGCCGUGCGCCAUUAGCGAAUGGGAGAAUUCGCCGUCGCAUCUUCACCAUAUGGUGGCCGCCGGGGAGACCACGUCGUCGGGGACUCUGGGUUCUCCAUUGCCGUGCGCCAGUACUGGAGUGAGGCUCCUCGCCUCUACCUCGCACCGGCGGAUCUCGUGCUGUUGGGCGCGACCAUCGGAUAAUGGUGAAGAUGUCGGAGUUCGGCGCCCGGUUGUGAACUGCGCUCCAAGGUCGGUCGGCUCUCCUCCAUCGGUGGUGAGUACAUUUCCCUCUCCCAAGCCGCCAGUGCCGGUGUGCUGUUUCCUGGUACCGGCGUCGUGUACGUAGGUAGAUGUGGGUAGCGGCGUAAGGAAGAAGAAAACUCCUAGUCGCUGGAAUCUAGAUGUAGGGCUGAGAUUAAAACCUGGAGUAGCAUUUUGCUUUGUAAAGUUUUGGCCGUCGGUGUGAUAAUCUAUGGCUUGGGUUUGGGGAAAGAACUAUGUCCGUAGAUUGGGUUGCCAACGGUUAGGAUUAGAAGGCAUUUACCUCUUUUGGAUUAUUUGAAUCUGUGCCAUCAAUCGUCAAUCGUGCGGUCCGCACUGAUUAUGGGCUCGGUAUCGAUCUAGGCCAUCCGAUCUUGAUCCAGUGGCCCAUAGCGCGUAUCGUUUUGGGGAAUAGAAGAUCUAAUCCGGAGCGUCGAUUGGGGAUCAGACGGCUAGAGUUUACCCGUACCCCUUCGCGGGUCCAUUUUACUUAAGAGCCCCUCGGUUUCAUUGAAAUAAACCCGCCGUCCUACUGCAUAGUGUUCUGAGUCUUAGGAUCUUUUGCGCCUGGGCCCCUGCUGUUCUCAGAAAUGAAGGCCCAGUCCAGAGCUGUUUAAAAUGGAAUAAUUAAAUUGGAAAAUAGGUUUUUAAUACAAAAAUAUAUGCUAGAACUUCAAUAAUUCAUAGAAAAUUCAUAUGAUAUCCAAAAUAAUCCAUUCCACUUUCUAAAUUUUUGUAAUUUUAUUAUUUAUCACUUAGAGCCUCUGUUUGGUCAUGAAAACAGUAAGAAAAGUUAUUUCCCACUUAAUCCCAUUUUAAACACAUAAAAUCUUUGAAAAUCCAUAACUUAAAUUCUAUAACUCCAAAAAUUAUGAUUCCUGUUCCUAGAAUUAUAUUUUAAUAUGUAGAAUAUUGCUGUGUAUUUUGUUCACAUGCUUGGUGUGAUGUUAAUUUUCCCCUGUAUAUUGUGCUUGUUGUAUUGUGGCGAGUAGAAGAGCCCGUGACUGAGGACCCUGGUGAGCAGCAGGUUGAAGUAGCUGAGCAGGAGCUCAUUGAAGGCAAGUUGUGCCCUUGACCACUUUUUACCCAAUAAUGUUCUUUAAUAUCACUUAUCCAUGCAUAGGUUAAUUUUGAUGGGACCCAAUAGGUCACCCUAGAUUGUUUAUCUCAUUACCUUGUUUACCCCUGAAUCACUUGGGUAGUUUGCUAUUGCUUUAUAUGGUUUUGGGAUAAUCAUUUAUUACCUCUAUGUUCCAAUUCUUGUUGUUAUUCUGUUUAUGUUCAUGAUGUUAUCAUUAAUGUUAAUUGGAACAUAGAGCUUAACUUGAGAACCACGUGCCACCACAAGGGUUUAAUGGGACGCCCUUGGCUGACUAAUUAGGAAAUCUAGUGGAAGACUACCUUACCCGAAAGGGGCAAGGGCAGUAGGGGAGAGGUCAGUGCGGGGAGGUCCCUGGUUGAUUUUGCUGCGAUGGCGGUCAGCCAGGAACCCUGUACUGGAUCUUCCCAUAAACUGUAGCGGGUUUUCGGAAGCUAGUGGAACUUUGUAAAGGCCUCGUAGUGUUGCCCUGCCGCGCUUCCUAGGUAGAGGUGUAUGGGAUUCAUGACCCCUUGGCAGAUGGGUAACAUGACUUGUGGGUAAAGGGUACAACCUCUGCAGAGUGUAAAACUGGUAUACUAGCCGAGCUCACGGUCAUGAGCAGCUCAGGACUCUUUGAUGUUUAAAUUAUGGAACUUAAAUUCAAUUUUGUCAUUUGCAUUGCAUGGGUUUGUUAUUAAUUUUGUUCUAUUACUUUACUUAUGGUUUGGUAUUUACUUACACUUAGUAACUGCUAAUAAAAUUUUGACCAACUACUUAAAAGCAAUGCUCAGCUUUAACCCCUAUCAUUGAUCAGCCUUACACUUCACAUGAGCUCCCACCUUUGGUGAGUUCAUGUCACAUUAUUCCCCACAACUUGUUGAGCGAUGAUCAUGUGUGAGCUCACCCUUGCUGUCUCACACCCCCCCCACAGGAGAUGAUCAGGUGGUUCAGGAGGAGCCGCCUAACACUGAGGAGUUCGAUCUGAUCUAGGUGGCGUUUCCCAGUCGACAUUGGCGCCAACGAUCCUUAGUUCGUUUUAUAUUUAUCUUUAUUUUGUAAUAAGACUUCCGCUAUGUAAUAAAUACUCUGAUGUAUUAUGACAUUUAUCUCUAUACACUCUGUCAUUAUAUAUGUUGUCUUCUUGGCGCAUGUAUGAGAUGCACCCGGCUUUGUCCUUUAAAACCGGGUGUUACAUUGCGCAUCUUUACCCACAAGUCAUGUUACCCAUCUGCCAAGAGAUGGCCAAUCCCAUACACCUCUACCGAGGAGGCGAGGCAGGGUAACACUACGAGGCCUUUACAAAGUUCCACUAGCUUCAGACUACCCGCUACAGUUUAUAGGAAGUUCCAAUGCAGGGUUCCUGGCUGACCGCCAUCGCAGCAAAAUCAACCAGGGACCUCCCUACACUGACCACUCCCCUACUGCCCUUGCCCCUUUCGGGUAAGGUAGCCCUCCACUAGCUUUCCUAGUUAAUCAGCCAAGGGCGUCCCAUUAAACCCUUGUGGUAGCACUGUUUUCCCGGGUGGUCGCUCCAUGUUCCCAUUAAUUUAAUGAUCUUAACAUGAACAGUAAUAAUAACAAGAUAAUAACAGGAUAAUCAUGAGUAGUGUAUCUCCAUACUCAAUCCACAUAAAGCAAUAGCAAGUACUACCCAAAAAUAUUUCAGGGGUGAACAAGGUAUAGAGGUAAUCAAAACUGGGGUAACAUUAAGGAUCCCAUCAAAAUUAACCUAUGCAGAUCAUUAAAAUUAAUAAGAACAUGGCUGGGAAAAGUAAGUGAUCAAGGGCACAACUUGCCUGGCACUUGAGAUUCCAGGUACCAACUUGCUUUUCAAAUGACACGUGUCCUCGCGCUAGUCGUAACAAUACAAACAAACAUGGUAUAGAUAAAAUUAACAUCACACCAAACAUAAUAAUAUACUGCAUAAUAAUGAUCCAUGUGUUGCUACGAGACUAACGCAACUUGAACGGAUUAAAUCGGAGUUAAAACGGAGGAGUUAUGAAUUUGCUAGGGUUUUAUGUAUUUGAUACAUGAUUAAUUAUGAGAUCAAUUUUAAUGUGGUUUUCAUGUCAAAACAGAGAUACUAGGUGAUAAAAAAAACAUUAUUACAAAAUUAUAGAAACUGGAAUGGAUAAAUUUGGACUAAAUAUGGAUUUUCUAUGGAAUAAACAAGUUUCUAUCAAUUAUUUAUACACUAAAAAUCUAUUUCUACUUUAUUUUCUCUGAUUUUACAAUGCUCUGGACUGGGCCUCAAUAACAGGGAAAUCUGGGGUUAAGAGCGCAAAAAUGCCUAAGACACAGAGGCAUUCCAGUCGAGGACGGCGGGUUGAUUCUCAUUAAACCCAGGGGCUCUUUUGAAAACUGGUUCACGCGAAGGGGUAUGCUUUUGUCUCAGCCGUCGGAUCCCUCAUCUACGGUUCAGGUUCUAUGUAAUCGCCAUCAAAUCCGGUGCGUUGGUUACGUAUCCGACGCCAUCCAAUCAAGUCUGCCCAAGCGCUCCCCUGCUUCUGAUCGCGAUCGUUAGUCAUCCGAUCGACGGCCCACACGCCGUCAUCAACCCACCGAUGCUCUCUCUCUCUCGUCUGUUUCUUCUCCCGCGGUAACCCGAGUAGCGGCGCCCAGCCAUCCAGCCGCUGGUGAGCUCGCCGCCAGGACGGCGAAAACCCAAGCUCGCAUCUAGUUUACGCCUAACCAACCUCCUUCACGCUACAGAGAGGGAAAGUAGAUCAUACCGCAUGUAGAGACGAGGGAGAGGUUGGCGCGCAGGUUCCCUGCCCGCACCGUGACGGAUUAACCGAGGUUCCAGACGCCGAUUCGUCUAGCCGCCUCCGCCGUCGCCCCGAGAAGUCACGCCGCGCCCGCACUCCUAGCGAUCUCACAAAACGAAGGCGAGAAGACGACAACGGCCGGCGAUGUGCACUCACACUCUCUCUCCUCCGCACUCCCCGGUGAUAACGGACGGUCUCGGCAAUGGCGCUUUGGUUCGCGUCUGUGGUCGGGGAAGCACAGGGGUGCGCACCAUUGGCUUGUAUAGCCUGAGGACUCGGACUCCAGGCGAGGUAGGCGUAACAGCACCGAGAUCCCGGCGUUCGCUCCGCCAUGGUCGUCGGGUUCUGUUGAGGGGAGCGGUCUGGCCGGUUCGGCCCACACUCCAGAGAACGAAGAGGUAACGGGAGUGGGCGGUAACUCCGCUGACGUGUGGGACCCACAGGUCCAUCGGUGAAGGGAGGUGGGCUGGCGCGGGUAAAUGUAGAGUUGCUGGGCCACGCGGAGGAGGAAGCAAGCUGGGCCUGCCGGCCAGAAUUGGGCCCAACCGAGUUCUCCCAGCUCUUCUUCUUUUUACCAUUUCUGAUUUCCUUUCCCUUUCCUUUUCUUGAUUUCAUAUUUAAUUUUGAAUUCUGUCAUGAUCCUCACAUUUGAGCUAAGUAUCCAAAUUCAAAUCCUAGUUUAAGAAUAAUAUAUUUAUCUAUUUAUUUUUAUUUGUAUAAUAUUUUCUUUCUCCUCCUUCCCUUGUUAUUUCUCAUUCUUAAAUAUUCAAAAUAGGUUCUUAAUCCCCAAAUUCAAAUUUAUGUUUUAAUCUAAAUCUUCCCCUCAUUAUAAUAUUUUCAUUUAUAUAUUUUUACCCAUGUUAUUAAGUGCACAAACAAAAACUCCAAUAUAAUGCACUUUAUUUUAUUUUGGAAUUAUUUGUUUCGAUUAAUCCUUCUUAAUUACAUGUGUGCUCUUUUUAUGAUGCAAAUAUGGCACAUGAAAUGAGGAAUUCACUCUGUAUUCUGUGUAUACAAAGUUGAGUAUUACAAAUCCUACCCCCCUUAAAAAUAAUCUCGUCCCCGAGAUUUAGGAAGAUCUAGGGAAAAGGUGGGGAAAAUCUAUGCGAAGCUCUUCUUCUCUUUCCCAAGUUGCUUCAUCUUCAUCGUGGUGACUCCAUUGAACUUUGCACAUCUUUAUAACCUUAUUCCUUGUAACUCAAGUCAAUGUGUCAAGAAUCUUGAUCGGAUACUCCGUGCAAGUCAAAUCACCUUGAACACUACGCUCUUCCAUUGGUAACUGUUCCUCAGGGACACAGAGACACUUUUUAAGUUGAGACACAUGAAAUACAUUAUGCACAUCAGAUAGAUUAUCAGGUAGCUCGAGUUGAUAGGUCAUCUCUCCAACUCGCCUAAAAACUCUGAAUGGUCCAAUAAAGUGAGGGGACAACUUUCCUUUGACUUUAAAUCUUCUCAUACCCCGGAGUGGUGACACCUUCAAAUAGACAUGAUCACCCUCCUUAAACUCCAGUAGUCUUCUCCGGGUAUCAGCAUAACUCUUCUACCUUGAUUGUGCAAUUCUCAAAUUUUCUCUUAUCAUUCGAACUUGUUCUUCUGCCUCUUGAAUAAGUUCAUGUCCAAAGAAUUGUCUUCCUCCAGUCUGGUCCUCAUGUAGAGGAGUCCUGCAUUUCCUGCCAUGUAGAGCCUCGAACGGUGACAUCUUUGGACUGGACUGGUAACUGUUAUUAUAUGAGAACUUAGCAUAAGGUAGACUCUUGUCCCAACUACUACCAUGCUGAAGGGUACAAGCUCUCAACAUGUCUUCCAAUACUUGAUUAGUCCUUUUCAGUCUGAGGGUGAUAAGUUGUGCUAAAAUUCAACUUAUCAUCCGCACUCUCAUGAAAACUUUUCCAAAAUCUGGGGUAAACUGUGAUCCUCUAUCCAAAAUGAUCUUCUUCGAUACACCAUGUAGAGACACAAUCUGAGCCAUAUAUAACUCUGCCAAUUGAGAUACCUUAUAAGUAGUCUUGACCGGAAUGAAAUGAGCCACUUUGGUCAGUCUUUCCACAAUAACCCAUAUAGAAUCAUAUCCUUUCGAGGUGCGAGACAAUCUGGUAAUGAAGUCCUUACCAUUCUCUUUCCACUCCCACUCGGGUAUCUUAAGUGGGUGCGGUAAUCCAGCUGGCCUCUGGUGUUCAGCCUUAACUCUUUGGCACACAUCGCACAUAACCACAUGUGCAGCCACAUCUCUCUUCAAUCCAUACCACCAAUAUUUUUGCUUCAAAUCCUGAUACAUCUUAGUACUCCCAGGAUGAAUAGAAUAAACUGAAUCAUGUGCCUCCUUCAAGAUGGUUUCCCAAAGACUAUCGAUAUCGGGAACGCAGAUCCGAUUCUUGAACCAUAUAGUGCCUUGCUCAUCCUUCGUGAAUUCUGGACCUCGACCUUCAGUAAUCAGAUCCUUAAUCUCUUGUAUCUUAGCAUCACCAAUUUGUCCUUUGCGGAUCUCUUGCUCCAAGGUAGGUUCCACAUCAAUAGUAACUCCUUUAGUGUGAGCAACUAUCCCCAGGUUAAGUCUCUUGAAAUCCUCAACAAUCUCAUCGGGUAGCUGGGCAACAAUAGCUGAAUGAACAUGCUCCUUUCGACUCAAGGCAUCUGCAACCAAAUUCGCCUUGCCCGGGUGAUAGUGAAUUUUCAAAUCAUAGUCCUUAAUAAGCUCCAUCCAAUAGCGUUGCCUAAGGUUGAGAUCCUUCUGAGUGAAUAUGUACUUCAAACUCUUAUGAUCCGUGUAUACUUGGCACUUAGUUCCCAUAAUGUAGUGUCUCCAAAUCUUAAGUGCAUGCACAACUGCUGCCAGCUCUAAGUCAUGAGUGGGGUAGUUCAAUUCAUGUUUCCGCAACUGACGAGACGCAUAGGCGAUCACAUGUCCUUCUUGCAUGAGCACACAUCCUAAUCCUUGGCCACAUGCAUCACAAUAAAUGUCAAAUCCCUUUUGUAGAUCUGGCAUAACCAACAAUGGGGCGACAUCAAUCUCUUCUUUAAUUGAUCAAAGCUUUCUUGGCACUUCUCGUCCCACUUGAAUUCUCUUCCUUUCUCCAAAAGUGAGGUCAUGGGCUUAUCAAACUUAGAAAAUCCUUCAAUAAAUCUCCGAUAGUAUCCUACAAGCCCCAAGAAACUCCGAAUAUCCGUAACUAUAGUGGGUAUGCUCCAUGCCACUAUCUCCUUGACUUUAGCAGGACCCACUAAUAUCCCUCCAUUAGAAAUGAUAUGUCCAAGGAAUGGCACCUUGUUAAUCCAAAACUCACACUUGCUGAACUUAGCAUAAAGUUGAUUAUCUCGCAGCUUCUGUAGCACCAAUCUCAGGUGUUCCUCAUGAUCACUUUCACUCUUAGAAUAGAUAAGAAUAUCGUCCAUAAAUACUACGACGAAUCUGUCCAAAUACUCCAUAAACAUCUUAUUCAUCAAAUCCAUAAAAUAAGCUGGUGCAUUGGUCAAUCCAAAUGACAUAACAGUAAACUCAUAUAAUCCAUAUCGGGUUGAGAAAUCCGUUUUGGGAAUAUCUGAUGGCCUAAUCUUCAUUUAAUGGUAACCCGAUCGGAGAUCAAUCUUCGAGAAUACCCUUGCACCUCUCAUCCGAUUAAAUAAAUCCUUAAUGCGGGGUAAUGGACACUUGUUCUUCAUAGUGACCUCAUUAAGGGAUCUAUAAUCCACGCACAUCCCUUGCGAUCCAUCUUUCUUCUGUAUGAAUUGAACUGGCGCUCCACAAGGUGAAGAACUCGGACGAAUGUACCCAACAUCCUAUAAUUCCGUUAACUGCUUUUUAAGUUCCUUUAGCUCUUCUACGAACAUCAUGUAUGGCCGUUUAGAAAUAGGGGCAGUCCUAGAUAAUUCUUCUGGGAAGACAUCCGGAAAAUCUCUAACCACACGGAUGUUGUCACCAACAAACUUCCCAUCGACUAAGAAUGCCGCUAGUUUGGUGGUGGUAGUUACUGCAACUUCAACUUAAAAUCUUUGUCCUUUGGAACUGGUGAGUUCUAUGGUCCUUUAGCACAGUGUAUAAACUGCCUUUGCCUCUCUUAACCAUGACAUACCAAGGAUCACGUCUAUAGUGCUCUCUUCUAACACUAUAGGGGUAGCCCAUUGGGGUUAGAAAUAUAGGGUAAGAAAGGAAGAAUUGUAGACAAGGCGAGUAAUUAAGAGGAAUAUUACUACGGGGGAUUUAUUAGCUAAGUAGAUUAGUGUGUUAUCCACUAAAGCUAAUACAUUACCUUAUGGUGGUACAUGCUAAGAUGCCCGUCUAUACUAUUUCAAUCAAUCAAAGAAACAAAUCAGACAUUGAUCAUCAGAACAAUCAACCAACAUUUUUAAUAGAGAAAAUAAUUUUAAUUUUAUCUUAGGUUCUCUAUCUCUGGAAAAGUUCAUAGUUGUAGGAUUCCAAGGUGUGAAAUCCAUCUUGUCUUGAAGUAGAAAAUAUAAGAAUAAUCAGAGUAGAACAGUAGAAGGUGAGACAUGAUCAAGAUAAGUGUAGAGAGAAUCAGAGUAAGGUAAGUAUAGAAUGAAUCAGAAGAAGGUAAGUAGGGAAGGUUUUUGUCCAUUUCUAUCUAGGUUUCGUCCUACAGUCAACAUUUCCUUUGAUACCACUUCUGUAACACCCGGUUUUAAAGGACAAAGCCGGGUGCAUCUCAUACAUGCGCCAAGAAGACAACACAUAUAAUAACAGAGUGUAUAGAGAUAAAUGUCAUAAAACAUCAGAGUAUUUAUUACAUAGCGGAAGACUUAUUACAAAAUAAAGAUAAAUAUAAAACAAACUAAGGAUCGUCGGCGCCAAUGUCGACUGAGAAACGCCACCUAGAUCAGAUCAAACUCCUCGAUACUUGGCUCCACUUGAACCACCUGUUCUUCUCCUGUGGGGGGGGGGUGUGAGACAGCAAGAGUGAGCUCACAUACGUUCAUCGCUCAACAAGUCGUGGGGAAUAAUGUGGCAUGAACUCACCAAAGGUGGGAGUUCAUGAAGUGUAAGGCUAAUCAAUGAAAUAAAGGCUGAGGCUGAGCAUUGCUUUUAUAAGUUGGUCAAAAUUUUAUUAGCAAUUACUAAGUGUAAGUAAAUACCAAACAUUAAUAGUAAUAAAGAAAAGUAAUAGUAAAAUAAUCCCAAUGCGAUGCAAAUGUCAAAUUGAAUUUAAGUUCCAUAAUUAAUCAUGUGAGGGUCCGAGCCGCUCAUGACCGUGAGCACGGCUAGUAUACUAGUUUUACACUCUGCAGAGGUUGCGCAUCUUUACCCACAAGUCAUGUUACCCAUCUGCCAAGAGAUGGCCAAUCCCAUACACCUCUACCGAGGAGGCGAGGCAGGGUAACACUACGAGGCCUUUACAAAGUUCCACUAGCUUCAGACUACCCGCUACAGUUUAUAGGAAGUUCCAAUGCAGGGUUCCUGGCUGACCGCCAUCGCAGCAAAAUCAACCAGGGACCUCCCUACACUGACCACUCCCCUACUGCCCUUGCCCCUUUCGGGUAAGGUAGCCCUCCACUAGCUUUCCUAGUUAAUCAGCCAAGGGCGUCCCAUUAAACCCUUGUGGUAGCACUGUUUUCCCGGGUGGUCGCUCCAUGUUCCCAUUAAUUUAAUGAUCUUAACAUGAACAGUAAUAAUAACAAGAUAAUAACAGGAUAAUCAUGAGUAGUGUAUCUCCAUACUCAAUCCACAUAAAGCAAUAGCAAGUACUACCCAAAAAUAUUUCAGGGGUGAACAAGGUAUAGAGGUAAUCAAAACUGGGGUAACAUUAAGGAUCCCAUCAAAAUUAACCUAUGCAGAUCAUUAAAAUUAAUAAGAACAUGGCUGGGAAAAGUAAGUGAUCAAGGGCACAACUUGCCUGGCACUUGAGAUUCCAGGUACCAACUUGCUUUUCAAAUGACACGUGUCCUCGCGCUAGUCGUAACAAUACAAACAAACAUGGUAUAGAUAAAAUUAACAUCACACCAAACAUAAUAAUAUACUGCAUAAUAAUGAUCCAUGUGUUGCUACGAGACUAACGCAACUUGAACGGAUUAAAUCGGAGUUAAAACGGAGGAGUUAUGAAUUUGCUAGGGUUUUAUGUAUUUGAUACAUGAUUAAUUAUGAGAUCAAUUUUAAUGUGGUUUUCAUGUCAAAACAGAGAUACUAGGUGAUAAAAAAAACAUUAUUACAAAAUUAUAGAAACUGGAAUGGAUAAAUUUGGACUAAAUAUGGAUUUUCUAUGGAAUAAACAAGUUUCUAUCAAUUAUUUAUACACUAAAAAUCUAUUUCUACUUUAUUUUCUCUGAUUUUACAAUGCUCUGGACUGGGCCUCAAUAACAGGGAAAUCUGGGGUUAAGAGCGCAAAAAUGCCUAAGACACAGAGGCGUUCCAGUCGAGGACGGCGGGUUGAUUCUCAUUAAACCCAGGGGCUCUUUUGAAAACUGGUUCACGCGAAGGGGUAUGCUUUUGUCUCAGUCGUCGGAUCCCUCAUCUACGGUUCAGGUUCUAUGUAAUCGCCAUCAAAUCCGGUGCGUUGGUUACGUAUCCGACGCCAUCCAAUCAAGUCUGCCCAAGCGCUCCCCUGCUUCUGAUCGCGAUCGUUAGUCAUCCGAUCGACGGCCCACACGCCGUCAUCAACCCACCGAUGCUCUCUCUCUCUCGUCUGUUUCUUCUCCCGCGGUAACCCGAGUAGCGGCGCCCAGCCAUCCAGCCGCUGGUGAGCUCGCCGCCAGGACGGCGAAAACCCAAGCUCGCAUCUAGUUUACGCCUAACCAACCUCCUUCACGCUACAGAGAGGGAAAGUAGAUCAUACCGCAUGUAGAGACGAGGGAGAGGUUGGCGCGCAGGUUCCCUGCCCGCACCGUGACGGAUUAACCGAGGUUCCAGACGCCGAUUCGUCUAGCCGCCUCCGCCGUCGCCCCGAGAAGUCACGCCGCGCCCGCACUCCUAGCGAUCUCACAAAACGAAGGCGAGAAGACGACAACGGCCGGCGAUGUGCACUCACACUCUCUCUCCUCCGCACUCCCCGGUGAUAACGGACGGUCUCGGCAAUGGCGCUUUGGUUCGCGUCUGUGGUCGGGGAAGCACAGGGGUGCGCACCGUUGGCUUGUAUAGCCUGAGGACUCGGACUCCAGGCGAGGUAGGCGUAACAGCACCGAGAUCCCGGCGUUCGCUCCGCCAUGGUCGUCGGGUUCUGUUGAGGGGAGCGGUCUGGCCGGUUCGGCCCACACUCCAGAGAACGAAGAGGUAACGGGAGUGGGCGGUAACUCCGCUGACGUGUGGGACCCACAGGUCCAUCGGUGAAGGGAGGUGGGCUGGCGCGGGUAAAUGUAGAGUUGCUGGGCCACGCGGAGGAGGAAGCAAGCUGGGCCUGCCGGCCAGAAUUGGGCCCAACCGAGUUCUCCCAGCUCUUCUUCUUUUUACCAUUUCUGAUUUCCUUUCCCUUUCCUUUUCUUGAUUUCAUAUUUAAUUUUGAAUUCUGUCAUGAUCCUCACAUUUGAGCUAAGUAUCCAAAUUCAAAUCCUAGUUUAAGAAUAAUAUAUUUAUCUAUUUAUUUUUAUUUGUAUAAUAUUUUCUUUCUCCUCCUUCCCUUGUUAUUUCUCAUUCUUAAAUAUUCAAAAUAGGUUCUUAAUCCCCAAAUUCAAAUUUAUGUUUUAAUCUAAAUCUUCCCCUCAUUAUAAUAUUUUCAUUUAUAUAUUUUUACCCAUGUUAUUAAGUGCACAAACAAAAACUCCAAUAUAAUGCACUUUAUUUUAUUUUGGAAUUAUUUGUUUCGAUUAAUCCUUCUUAAUUACAUGUGUGCUCUUUUUAUGAUGCAAAUAUGGCACAUGAAAUGAGGAAUUCACUCUGUAUUCUGUGUAUACAAAGUUGAGUAUUACAGUAGGCAUGUGUGAUGAUAAAAUAUUUUAAUCACUUCUAUAGAUGUAUGUAUAUUUACGAUAAAGAAAUAUUUAAUUAAUUGUUGAUAUGUAAAAUAUGUGAGAGAAAUAAAAUCAAAUUAGUUCUUUAUGAGCGAUGUAGUAUAAUCUAUAAAACGAGUGAUAAGUUUAGAAGUUAAACAAUUAGCUGAUAAGUUAUGUUUAGGCUAACUGUAUUAAAUGUGUAUAGUUUGUGUUUUAUGAUGUUUGUGUUAGUUUUAAUUAAUUUAGAGAAGCACAAUUAUUACGCUUAGUCGUACGCUGAUAACUAGUGUUUCUGUAUAAGAUAGUUUAACGCCUCGCUGCUAGGUGUUUUAUUCGCUAUCGCGUAGCAUUAUUUAGGUUUGUAAUAUUUCCGUCGAUAUGCAUUCAUGUGCAUAAUGCAUUUCAUUCAGGAACGUUAAUUAAUCGUGCGAUGCAGAAGACAAGCCAAGUUGACCCCCAAGCGUGGGCUAACCCGCAGGAUGAUGCUGAUGAACGGAACUGAAGAUGGAUAAUCUGACGAAUGUCAAGACAAAGGCUACUCGUCAAGCGGACGUCACCUAACAACACUAACCUAGUGUUACUCAGGCAAGCCCCGGUGCAUUUGCCACCUCCUUGUGUUUUAAAAAUAUUUUUCACUUGCUUGAUGCAUAGGUGAUAGGAGUUGAUUGCUAAAACAAUUCAUGCAUUACCUUCCUUGAACUUGAUUACCUUCCUUGAUCACCUGUUUUACAAAAGAUUUUGAUGCUUAGCAUUGCUUUAGAAAAACAAAAUGUUUUGUUUUUACAAAAGUUGAUGUGGCAAAAGUGGGUGGGAUGUUUUCGAAAAUAAAACUUGAUGGUGGAUCCAUCAGGGCCUUGAUGGAUUCAACAUCGGAAAAGAUGUACCUCUGCCAGGUACCAAACUUUGGGUUUUAAAUGAUUAAGCUGAGACCGGGCGGUUGACUUGCACGAGAAAGGAGUCUCGGUGUAGUGUCUCCGUCUGAGUCGAUUAAGGACCGUCUCGAUAUAGGCCUGCUGACCGAGGAUCCUUUAACUGGUCACAUGCCUCGUCAUGGGUAAGCCUUGCCUCAGGCAGACUAAGGCCAGAAUAAGAUAACACGAAAUGGGCGUGGAGCGGUGGCGAGAGUAGCGUGUACCCUCCGUGGCAAGAGGCUGGACGGUGGUGUAUCUGUGCUCUCGGUUUGCGUGAACCUGAUCUGGUCUUAAGAACCCCGGUGGCGGGUUGACAUAUGCAAGGGUUAAGUGCUACAUAUGUCGUGUGAUCGGAGAUCCUCAGCUGAGUAUAAUCGAUUCGGAUCGCCGUACCUUCGCGCUUAUGAAGACUUGGUCACUGACUUACACGUAGCAAUCUAGUGAAGAUGAAGGGUUGAUAAGAAAUUGGCUAGUGCAGGUCAAGUGCUUGAACUAGGGUAGACAGAACUCUAGAUGCAGGUAAUUUUACUUAACCUGACAUUAAAAAUGGAUUUUUAAGGAUCCACUCAUAGUAAGCUUUUCUGCAAAACAGAGUCCUUUAUUCUUGAUAAACCUUUCCUUGAAUCCCUCUAGCCAGCAUACCCUUGAGAGUCUUUUCCUUAGUCGGGUAAGUCUUGCUGAGUAAUUCCGUACUCAGGGUUUUAUUCCCUAUUGUUUUUCAGGUUCUAACCUUGUGCUGCUGUUGAUGGUGUUAAGUGCCGGUGGGCUCGGCCUUCUUAUAAGUCUAAGUAACCCUUCUAUACUUCUUAUUGAGGAUGGUCAUUUGAGCUAGCAUAUAUUUCAAACUUAUACUUUUGUAAUCACUCCGAUAAAAUAAUAUAAAAUUUUUGUAACUUGUAAAAUUUGGUAAUAGAUUUCCGCUGCAACAAUAUUGGUGUGUGUGAUUUGUGUUACUUAAUCCCGCGGUUCUGGUUGAAAUUGGUUUAUCUGAUGUCCUUGGGGCAAUCAGACAGAUCCUGUUGAGUUGUCUGGUGCACAUGCAUGGUCGUCUGAGGUCUUUGGGACAAGGACAGGUGCAUGUGGGCCCAAUAACUUGGAGGUUCUGCCACAGAUAACGUUUGGGAGCAAACUCAAAACGAUAUGAGCAAGGGAACUUUAGAGAGAGGAAAGAGGAAAAACAAAUCAAGUGGUAAUAAAUACAAGUGAACACGGUGAUUUGUUUACCGAGGUUCGGAUCCAAAGAACCUAGUCCCCAUUGAGGAGGCCACAAAGGCCAGGUCUAUUCCAACCCUUUCCCUCUCUCAAUCGGUCACACAGACCGGUCGAGGCUUCUCCUUAAUCACUUGGGUCACUAAGACCCCGCAAGGAUCACCACACACUUAGGUGUCUCUUGCUAGCUUUACAAAGCACUUAGAAGAAUUAGAAUAGGAAGGAGAAAGCAAUCCAAGCAACAAGAGCAACAAAAGAACACAAAACACUCUCUCUCAAGUCACUAAGCAAUUGAGUUGAUUUUGAGACUUGGAGAGGAUUUGAUCUUUGGAAUGUGUCUUGGAGUGAAUGCUAUUGCUCUUGUAUUGAAUGUGAACUUCAGAAAACUUGGAUGCCAUUGAAGGAGGUGGUUGGAGGGUAUUUAUAGCCUCCAACCACUUACUAGUCGUUGGCUGUUUUUGCUGUCGGUGGGCACACCGGACAGGUACUGUUCACUGUUCGGUGCGUGCCACAUCAGCACGCCGUUGGGGGUUUGGAGCAACUUGAGCAUUGGAACCCUUUGUCGUGUAGCUGCACCGGACAGUCCGGUGCCAUGUGCUCUGACUUCUCUGCUCUAACCUCUGACGCACAUUGUUCACUUUGGCAGUCGACCGUUGGCGUCAGGUUACCAUUGCUCCGUUGGCUCACCGGACAUGUCCGGUGCACACCGGACAGUUCGGUGAAUUAUAGUGGAGCGCGCCCUGGAGAAACCCAAGAGUGGUUGGUUUGACUGUUGUUCGGCCUGGGGCACCGGACACUGUCUGGUGUGCCACUGGCAGCACACUCUCAAGUCCUUUGCUCCAAAUUUAUUUGAGUCCGAAUGUAAUUUCUUUCUUGGUUUAUGUUGAACCUUAUGCAUCUGAGAUAAAAGACAUCUUGGCAAACUAAUUAAUCCACGUGGUUUGUGAUGGACGCCAACCAUUAAAAUCGAUUACAGGAAAUAAUUAAACUCAUUUCACUUUUGUCGGGGACCAUAAUUAGGGGUACCCUUAAGACUCCUAAUCUCAGCUGGUAACCCCCAUCAGCACAAAGCUGCAAAGGCCUGAUGGGCGCGAUUAAGGUCAAGGCUCAGUCCACUCAAGGGACACGAUCUCGCCUCGCCCGAGCCCAGCCUCGGGCAAAGGCAGCCGACCCCGGAGGAUUCACGUCUCGCCCGAGGGCCCCCUCAAGCAACGGACGCACCUUCGGCUCGCCAGAGGCCCAGUCUUCGCAGAGGAGCAACCUUGGCCAGAUCGCCACGCCAACCGACCAUAUCGCAGGAGCAUUUAAUGCAAGGAUCGCCUGACAUCUUAUCCUGACGCGCGCUCCAGUCGACAAGGCCGAAGUGACCGCAGAAACUUCGCCGCUCCACCGACCGACCUGACAGGAAUACAGCGCCGCCUGCCCUGCUCCGACUGCCGUGCCACUCGCCAGAGUGAGGUCGACAACAGCUAAGUCCAGCCUCGGGCGACAUAGGAAGCUCCGCCUCGCCCGACCCCAGGGCUCGGCCCCCCGUCUCGGCCUCGGAAGAUGGACUUCGCCUCGCCCGACCCUAGGGCUCGGACUCGGCCUCGGCUCCGGAAGACGACGAACUCCGCCUCGCCCGACCCCAGGGCUCGGACUCGGCCUCGGCUCUGGAAGACGACGAACUCCGCCUCGCCCGACCCCAGGGCUCGGACUCGGCCUCGGUUCCGGAGGACGACGAACUCUGCCUCGUCCGACCCUAGGGCUCGGACUCGGCCUCGGCUCCGGAAGACGACGAACUCCGCCUUGCCCGACCCUAGGGCUCGGACUCGGCCUCGGCUCCGGAAGACGACAAACUCCGCCUCGCCCGACCCCAGGGCUCGGACUCGACCUCGACUCCGGAAGACGGCGAACUCCGCCUCGCCCGACCCCAGGGCUCGGACUCAACCUCCACCUCAGAGGAAUUGCCACCUCGCCCAAACUCGGGUCUGGACCAGCCACGUCACUAGGGGGGCCAUCAUUACCCUACCCCUAGCUAGCUCAGGCUACGGGGAACAAGACCAGUGUCCCAUCUGGCUCGCCCCGGUAAACAAGUAAUGAUGACGCCCCGCACGCUCCAUGACGGCGGCAGCUCCCAGCCCCUUAUGUCAGCAAGGAGACGUCAGCAAGGACCCGACAGCCCCGACAGCUGUACUUCCGCAGGGCUCCAGCACUCCUCCGACGGCCACGACAUCACAUGAACAGGGUGCCAAAACCUCUCCGACUGCCACGACGGCAUGUACUUAGGGCUCUAGCUCCUCUCUGUUGGACACGCUAGCACAUUGCUACACCCCCCUGUACACCUAGGCCCUCUCCUUACGUCUAUAAAAGGAAGGUCCAGGGCUCUCGUACGAAGAGGUUGGCCGCGCGGGAGAACGGGAAGACGCGUAAGGCUCUCUCUCUCUCUCUCUCUCCCACGCGAACGCUUAUAACCCCCUACUGCAAGCGCACCGAGCCGCCCUGGGCGCAGGACAACACGAAGGCCGCGGUUUCCCCUCGCUGUUCUCCCCCCUUUGUGUCCUGUCUCGCGCCGACCCAUCUGGGCUGGGGCACGCAGCGACAAUUUACUCGUCGGUCCAGGGACCCCCCGGGGUCGAAACGCCGACAGUUGGCGUUGCCAGGUAGGGGCCUGUUGCGUGUUGACGAACAGCUUCCCGUCAAGCUCCAGAUGGGUAGUCCCCAGCAACCUUUCCAACCCGGGACGACGCUCCGUUUCGGGAGUCUCGAGUUCAUGUCUCUCAACGGCAGCUACGACAUGGUACUCCUUCUUCCGUCGCGCGACGACGACAAUGGCGGCCGUCAGCCCGCCCGCCGGCGGCGGAAUCGACGACGUCUUCCUCACGUGGCGGAAGAGCAACAUUCAGUUCUGUCCCGUCGCCUCCCCCGCCGAUGGAGGAGGAGGCGGGGCAGGCAUGGCCAAGCAGGGGGCGACACCUCGUCGGCUGUCGAGCGAGUCGACGGCGCCGGCGCCCCAGCGGGGGACACGCCGGGCGUUGACCUCGCGUCGGAGAUGAAGACGAGCGCCGUUUCCCCGCAACACGCCAACAUCGAGCUGACGGAUGAUGCCAGCACGCUCACGAAGGGCUUGAUGGGCAUCUGAAAGGGAAAUGUGCCCUUGGGCCAUUUCUAAGUAUUUUGGUGAUUGAGUGUCAACACAAGUGUUUAAAUGUGAAUCUAUGCCCAUGGGUGAACAAAGUGCAAAUCAAGAGCAAAGGUAUGUUUCUAAGUCUUAGUACAUUGGUUUUGUGUACUAAUAUAUUUGUCUAAGUGUUAGAAACAGAAAGAAGAAGAAAAGAGAAGAGUUGGCUAUGUACAGCCAAAAGGCUGGUUCGGUCUGGGGCACCGGACUGUCCGGUGGUGCACCGGACAGUGUCCGGUGCGCCAGGCUGGCUCGAGCGAAGUGGCCGCUCACGGGAAUUCGCCGACGGCGUACGGCUAAAAUUCACCGGACUGUCCGGUGUGCACCGGACUGUCCGGUGAGCCAACUGUCGGCCGGGCCAACGGUCGGCCGCGCGAUCUGCGCGGGACACGUGGCCGAGCCAACGGUCGGAAGGGGGCACCGGACUGUCCGGUGUGCACCGGACAUGUCCGGUGCGCCAACGGCUCCCAGAUCUGCAACGGUCGGCUUCGCCAAUUAAGGAAAGGAAUCGGGCACCGGACACUGUCCGGUGUGCACCGGACUGUCCGGUGCGCCCGACGACAGAAGGCAAAGAUGGCCUUCCAGAUUUGUUCUCAACGGCUCCUAGCUGCCUUGGGGCUAUAAAAGGGACCCCUAGGCGCAUGGAGGGAUACACCAAGCAACCUUUGAGCAUUCUUGAUCAUCCACACUCAGUCUUUGCGCAUCCGUUUGUUAUUCUAAGUGAUUCGAGCUCCGUUCUUGUGAGAACUUUGAGUUAGUCUUUGAGCUCGAUUCUUGGCCGUGUGUGUGCGCAUUUCGCUGUGGAUUUGUGUGUGUUGCUUCCCUCCCUUACUCCGUGUUUCUUUGUGAACUUUACGUGUAAGGGCGAGAGACUCCAAUUUGUGGAGAUUCCUCGCGAGUGGGAUAAAGAUAAGCAAGGCAAAACACCGUGGUAUUCAAGUGGGUCUUUGGACCGCUUGAGAGGGGUUGAUUGCAACCCUCGUCCGUUGGGACGCCACAACGUGGAGUAGGCAAGUUUUGUACUUGGCCGAACCACGGGAUAAAUCACCAUGUCUUCUCUGUGUUGAAUUCUUUGUGAUUGUCGUAUUGUGCAAGAUCUCCUCUUUAGCCACUUGGCAAUUAUUGUGCUAACCCUUAACAAGUUUUUGUGGCUAUAAGUUUAAGUUUUUACAGGAUCACCUAUUCAUCCCCCCCUCUAGGUGCUCUCAAUUGGUAUCGGAGCCGUUCUCUUCAAGAAAGGGACUAACCGCCCGAAGAGAUGGAUCCUAAGGGGAAGGGAAUCGUGAUCAACGACAAGGAAAAGGAGUCCUUCGUCAACGAGCCAAAAGAUGACAAAUCCAACGACUCUGGCUCGGGCCACAGACGUAAAGAUGGGAAGAAGAAAAAGACAAGACGUAUCAAGGAGAUCGUCUACUACGACAGCGACGAGUCUACUUCUUCCCACAAGGACGACGACUACGACAAACAAAAGACGGUUAACUCAAACUUCUUUUUUGAUUAUUCGCGCAUUCCGCACAGCUCAAAUGCUCAUUUGCUCCCCAUUCCACUUGGCAAGCCUCCUCACUUUGAUGGAGAGGACUACGGAUUUUGGAGUCACAAAAUGCGUACACACCUAUUUUCUCUCCAUCCAAGCAUUUGGGAGAUUGUGGAAAGUGGAAUGAAAUUUGAUAGCUCGGAUAGUCCUUCAUUUAUUAAUGAACAGAUCCAUAAAAAUGCACAAGCUACUACUGUGUUGCUAGCCUCUUUGUGCAGGGAUGAGUAUCACAAGGUGAGCGGCUUGGACAAUGCCAAGCAGAUUUGGGACACCCUCAAGAUCUCUCAUGAGGGGAAUGAUGUCACCUUACUCACCAAGAUGGAGUUGGUGGAGGGCGAGCUCGGACGAUUCGCGAUGAUAAGGGGCGAGGAGCCGACGCAAACAUACAACCGACUCAAGAUCCUUAUCAACAAAAUAAGGAGCUACGGAAGCACGCGAUGGACGGAUCACGACGUCGUCCGCCUAAUGCUAAGGUCAUUUACCGUUCUUGAUCCUCAUCUCGUGAACAAUAUUCGUGAGAAUCCCAGGUACACGAAGAUGACGCCCGAGGAGGUACUCAGAAAAUUCGUAAGCGGGCGAAUGAUGAUCAAGGAGGCAAGAUACGUGGACGACGCCUUGAAUGGACCAAUCAACGAGCCUCAACCCCUUGCUCUCAAGGCAACAAGAAGCAAGGAGGCGCUACCUAACAGGGUGGCACAAAUAGAGGCAGCCGGACUUAAUGAUGAAGAGAUGGCCCUCAUCAUCAAAAGAUUCAAGACGGCGCUUAAAGGUCGCAAGGGACAGCCAAGCAAGACCAAAGCCAAGGGGAAGCGUUCGUGCUUCAAAUGCGGUAAGCUUGGUCAUUUUAUUGCUAACUGUCCCGACAAUGAUAGUGAUCAGGACCAAGGGAACAAGAGGGAGAAGAAGAAGAAUUAUAAGAAGGCAAAGGGCGAGGCUCAUCUUGGCAAGGAGUGGGAUUCGGACUGCUCCUCGUCUGACUCCGACAAUGAGGGACUCGCCGCCACUGCAUUCAACAAGUCAUCCCUCUUCCCCAACGAGCGUCACACUUGCCUCAUGGCAAGAGAGAAGAAGGUAAUCACUCGUAAUGAUGUCACUUAUGAUUCUUCUAGUGACGAUGAGUCUAGUGAUGAUGAAAUAGAUUAUUCUAGUUUGUUCAAGGGAUUAGAUAGAAAUAAAAUUGAUAAAAUUAAUGAAUUGAUUGAUGCCUUGAAUGAAAAGGAUAGGCUUUUAGAAAAGCAAGAGGAUUUAUUGUAUGAUGAACAUGAUAAGUUUGUAGAGGCACAAAAAUCCUAUGCUUUAGAAGUUAAAAGAAAUGAAGUGCUUUCUAGUGAAUUAUCUUCUUGUCAUGAAAACAUUGCUACUUUAAAGAGUGUUAAUGAUGACUUAAAAACUAAACUAGAAGUAGCUAGUAAAUCAACAUCCUGUGUAGAAAUUGUUGAAACGUGCACUAGAUGUAAAGAUCUUAAUGUUGAUGCUUGUAGCAAACAUCUAGUCUCAAUUUCUAAAUUGAAUGAUGAAGUGGUAGUCUUAAUGCUCAACUUCAGGCUAGCAAAAGCGAAUUUGAUAAGCUAAAAUUUGCAAGGGAUGCCUACACGAUUGGUAGACACCCCUCAAUUAAGGAUGGACUUGGCUUCAAAAGGGAAGCCAAGAACUUAACAAGCCAUAAGGCUCCCAUUCCCGCUAAGGAGAAAGGGAAGGCCCCUAUGGCUACUAGUGCUAAAAAGAACCAUGCCUUUUUGUAUCAUGAUAGGAAAAAUUCUAGAAAUGCUUUUAGAAGUUAUGAUUCACAUGCUUAUGAUUCUUAUGCUAUGACUGCUUCUAGUUCUCAUGUUGUGCAUGAUAGAAAGGUUGGUAGGAGAAAUGUUGUUAAUGCUCAUAGGAAAGUUCAUGGACCUUCUACAAUUUAUCAUGCCCUAAAUGCUUCCUUUGCUAUUUGUAGAAAGGAUAGGAAAAUAGUUGCUAGGAAGUUAGGGGCAAAAUGCAAGGGAGACAAAACUUGCAUUUGGGUCCCUAAGGAAAUUUGCACUAACCUUGUAGGACCCAACAAGAGUUGGGUACCUAAGUCCCAAGCCUAAAUUUGCCUUGCAGGUUUAUGCAUCCGGGGGUUCAAGCUGGAUUAUCGACAGCGGAUGCACAAACCAUAUGACGGGGGAGAAGAAGAUGUUCACCUCCUACGUCAAGAAUAAGGAUUCCCAAGAUUCAAUUAUAUUCGGUGAUGGGAAUCAAGGCAAGGUAAAAGGGUUAGGUAAAAUUGCAAUUUCUAAUGAGCAUUCUAUCUCUAAUGUAUUUUUAGUAGAGAGUCUUGGAUAUAAUUUGCUAUCUGUUAGUCAAUUAUGUCAUAUGGGAUAUAACUGUCUAUUUACAAAUGUAGAUGUGUCUGUCUUUAGAAGAAGUGAUGGUUCACUAGCUUUUAAGGGUGUAUUAGACGGCAAACUUUAUUUAGUUGAUUUUGCAAAAGAAGAGGCCGGUCUAGAUGCAUGCUUAAUAGCUAAGACUAGCAUGGGCUGGUUGUGGCAUCGCCGCUUAGCACAUGUGGGGAUGAAGAACCUUCACAAGCUUCUAAAGGGAGAACAUGUGAUAGGUCUAACCAAUGUUCAUUUCGAAAAAGAUAGACCUUAUGCAGCUUGUCAAGCAGGUAAACAAGUGGGAGGAGCACAUCACAGCAAGAAUGUGAUGACCACAUCAAGACCCCUGGAGCUGCUACACAUGGACCUCUUCGGACCCGUCGCCUAUCUGAGCAUAGGAGGAAGUAAGUAUGGUCUAGUUAUUGUUGAUGACUUUUCCCGCUUCACUUGGGUGUUCUUUUUGCAGGAUAAGUCUGAAACCCAAGGGACCCUCAAGCGCUUCCUCAGGAGAGCUCAAAAUGAGUUUGAGCUCAAGGUGAAGAAGAUAAGGAGCGACAACGGGUCGGAGUUCAAGAACUUGCAAGUGGAGGAGUUCCUUGAGGAGGAAGGGAUCAAGCACGAGUUCUCCGCUCCCUACACACCACAGCAAAAUGGUGUGGUAGAGAGGAAGAACAGGACGCUAAUCGACAUGGCGAGGACUAUGCUUGGAGAAUUCAAGACCCCCGAGCGUUUUUGGUCGGAAGCCGUGAACACAGCUUGCCACGCCAUCAACAGGGUCUACCUUCACCGCCUCCUCAAGAAGACGGCAUAUGAGCUUCUAACCGGUAACAAACCCAAUGUAUCGUACUUUCGUGUAUUUGGGAGCAAGUGCUACAUUCUAGUGAAGAAGGGUAGAAAUUCUAAAUUUGCUCCCAAAGCAGUAGAAGGGUUUUUGUUAGGUUAUGACUCAAAUACAAAGGCGUAUAGAGUCUUCAACAAAUCAUCGGGUUUGGUUGAAGUCUCUAGCGACGUGGUAUUUGAUCAGACUAAUGGCUCUCCAAGAGAGCAAGUUGUUGAUCUUGAUGAUGUAGAUGAAGAAGACGUUCCAACGGCCGCUAUGCGCACCAUGGCGAUUGGUGAUGUGCGACCACAGGAACAAUUGGAGCAAGAUCAACCUUCUUCCUCAACUAUGGUGCAACCCCCAACCCAAGACGAUGAACAGGUUCAUCAACAGGAGGCGUGUGAUCAAGGAGGAGCACAAGAUGAUCAUGUGAUGGAGGAAGAUGCGCAACCGGCACCUCCAACCCAAGUCCGAGCGGUGAUUCAAAGGGAUCAUCCUGUCGACCAAAUUCUGGGUGACAUUAGCAAGGGAGUAACUACUCGAUCUCGAUUAGUUAAUUUUUGUGAGCAUUACUCCUUUGUCUCUUCUAUUGAGCCUUUCAGGGUAGAGGAGGCCUUGCUAGAUCCGGACUGGGUGUUGGCUAUGCAGGAGGAGCUCAACAACUUCAAGCGCAAUGAAGUUUGGACACUGGUGCCUCGUCCGAAGCAAAAUGUUGUGGGAACCAAGUGGGUGUUCCGCAACAAACUGGACGAGCACGGGGUGGUGACGAGGAACAAGGCUCGACUUGUGGCAAAAGGUUAUGCCCAAGUCGCAGGUUUGGACUUUGAGGAGAGUUUGCUCCUGUGGCUAGGCUAGAAUCAAUUCGUAUCUUGCUAGCAUAUGCCGCUCACCAUUCUUUCAGGUUGUACCAAAUGGAUGUGAAGAGCGCUUUCCUCAACGGGCCAAUCAAGGAGGAGGUGUACGUGGAGCAACCCCCUGGCUUCGAGGAUGAACGGUACCCCGACCACGUGUGUAAGCUCUCUAAGGCGCUCUAUGGACUUAAGCAAGCCCCAAGAGCAUGGUAUGAAUGCCUUAGAGACUUCUUAAUUGCUAAUGCUUUCAAGGUUGGGAAAGCCGAUCCAACUCUUUUUACAAAGACAUGUGAUGGUGACUUGUUUGUGUGCCAAAUUUAUGUCGAUGACAUAAUAUUUGGUUCUACUAACCAAAAGUCUUGUGAAGAGUUUAGCAGGGUGAUGACGCAGAAAUUCGAGAUGUCGAUGAUGGGCGAGUUGAACUACUUCCUUGGGUUCCAAGUGAAGCAACUCAAGGACGACACCUUCAUCUCCCAAACAAAGUACACGCAAGAUCUGCUAAAGAGGUUUGGGAUGAAGGACGCCAAGCCCGCAAAGACUCCGAUGGGGACCGACGGACACACCGACCUCAACAAAGGAGGUAAGUCCGUUGAUCAAAAAGCAUACCGGUCAAUGAUAGGUUCUUUGCUUUACUUAUGUGCUAGUAGACCGGAUAUUAUGCUUAGCGUAUGCAUGUGUGCUAGAUUUCAAUCCGAUCCUAAGGAGUGUCACUUAGUGGCGGUGAAGCGAAUUCUUAGAUAUUUGGUUGCUACGCCUUGCUUCGGGCUCUGGUAUCCAAAGGGGUCUACUUUUGACUUAGUUGGAUACUCAGACUCCGACUAUGCUGGAUGUAAGGUUGAUAGGAAGAGUACAUCGGGGACGUGCCAAUUCUUAGGAAGGUCCCUGGUGUCAUGGAACUCUAAGAAACAAACCUCCGUUGCCCUAUCCACCGCUGAGGCCGAGUACGUUGCCGCAGGACAGUGUUGCGUGCAACUACUUUGGAUGAGGCAAACCCUCCGGGACUUUGGCUACAAUCUGAGCAAAGUCCCACUCCUAUGUGACAAUGAGAGUGCUAUCCGCAUGGCGGAGAAUCCUGUUGAGCACAGCCGCACAAAGCACAUAGACAUCCGGCAUCACUUUUUGAGAGACCACCAGCAAAAGGGAGAUAUCGAAGUGUUUCAUGUUAGCACCGAGAACCAGCUAGCCGAUAUCUUCACUAAGCCUCUAGAUGAGAAGACCUUUUGCAGGUUGCAUAGUGAGCUAAAUGUCUUAGAUUCGCGGAACCUGGAUUGAAUUGUAGCAUACAUGUAUUUAUGCUUUUGAUCAUGUUCCUUUUUGCAUUUUGUUGCUUAUUAUGGUGCUCAAGUUGUACAAACACUCCCUGGACCUCACAAGUCCGUUGCAAAAUGAUGCACAUGUUUAGGGGGAGAUGUGUUACAACUUGACCCUUUGAGACUAACCAUGUGUUUGAGUUCGAUGAUUUAGUCUCGAAGGAGGAUUGAAAGGGAAAAGGUGGACUUGGAUCAUGAAAGACUUCCACUGCACUCCGAUGAGAGGGUAACUUAUUCCAAGUUCAUCUUUAGACUCUUAUUGCCUUUGUAUUCUUAUUGAAGAUUUUGGUGAGGCAAUGGGGUUAAAAGGGCCAAGAUUGAUCCCGUUUUGGUGCUUGAUGCCAAAGGGGGAGAAAAUAAAGGCUAAAGCGAUAAAUGGAUCAGCUACCACUUGAGAGAUUUUGAAAAUAGUAGAAUAGAGUUUUUGUUUUGUUAAACUCUUUUAUUGUCUCUUAUUGUCUCUCUUGUCAAAAGUUGGCUUCUUGUGGGGAGAAGUGUUGAUUAUGGGAAAUAGGGGGAGUUUUUGAAAUCUUUGAUCAAUCUCUUUUGGAAUGACUCUCUUUAUGCUUCAACAUGUGUGUUUGACUUAGAGAUAGAGAUUUGAGUUUGAUUUGCAAAAACAAACCAAGUGGUGGCAAAGGAUGAUCCAUAUAUGCCAAAAUUGAAUCAAAAUCAAUUUGAGUUUUAUUUGAAGUAAUUUUGCACUUGUUCUAGUUGCUUUAUGUUGUGUUGGCAUAAAUCACCAAAAAGGGGGAGAUUGAAAGGGAAAUGUGCCCUUGGGCCAUUUCUAAGUAUUUUGGUGAUUGAGUGUCAACACAAGUGUUUAAAUGUGAAUCUAUGCCCAUGGGUGAACAAAGUGCAAAUCAAGAGCAAAGGUAUGUUUCUAAGUCUUAGUACAUUGGUUUUGUGUACUAAUAUAUUUGUCUAAGUGUUAGAAACAGAAAGAAGAAGAAAAGAGAAGAGUUGGCUAUGUACAGCCAAAAGGCUGGUUCGGUCUGGGGCACCGGACUGUCCGGUGGUGCACCGGACAGUGUCCGGUGCGCCAGGCUGGCUCGAGCGAAGUGGCCGCUCUCGGGAAUUCGCCGACGGCGUACGGCUAAAAUUCACCGGACUGUCCGGUGUGCACCGGACUGUCCGGUGAGCCAACUGUCGGCCGGGCCAACGGUCGGCCGCACGAUCUGCGCGGGACACGUGGCCGAGCCAACGGUCGGAAGGGGGCACCGGACUGUCCGGUGUGCACCGGACAUGUCCGGUGCGCCAACGGCUCCCAGAUCUGCAACGGUCGGCUUCGCCAAUUAAGGAAAGGAAUCGGGCACCGGACACUGUCCGGUGUGCACCGGACUGUCCGGUGCGCCCGACGACAGAAGGCAAAGAUGGCCUUCCAGAUUUGUUCUCAACGGCUCCUAGCUGCCUUGGGGCUAUAAAAGGGACCCCUAGGCGCAUGGAGGGAUACACCAAGCAACCUUUGAGCAUUCUUGAUCAUCCACACUCAGUCUUUGCGCAUCCGUUUGUUAUUCUAAGUGAUUCGAGCUCCGUUCUUGUGAGAACUUUGAGUUAGUCUUUGAGCUCGAUUCUUGGCUGUGUGUUUGCGCAUUUCGCUGUGGAUUUGUGUGUGUUGCUUCCCUCCCUUACUCCGUGUUUCUUUGUGAACUUUACGUGUAAGGGCGAGAGACUCCAAUUUGUGGAGAUUCCUCGCGAGUGGGAUAAAGAUAAGCAAGGCAAAACACCGUGGUAUUCAAGUGGGUCUUUGGACCGCUUGAGAGGGGUUGAUUGCAACCCUCGUCCGUUGGGACGCCACAACGUGGAGUAGGCAAGUUUUGUACUUGGCCGAACCACGGGAUAAAUCACCGUGUCUUCUCUGUGUUGAAUUCUUUGUGAUUGUCGUAUUGUGCAAGAUCUCCUCUUUAGCCACUUGGCAAUUAUUGUGCUAACCCUUAACAAGUUUUUGUGGCUAUAAGUUUAAGUUUUUACAGGAUCACCUAUUCACCCCCCUCUAGGUGCUCUUAGCAUCGCCCUCGUACCUGAGACAACGGUGCAGUCCGCCCCUGACGUGACUUCGUCACCACCCGUCGAUCAAGAGGUACCGUCCGUUUUCCAUCCCAUGCCUUUCAGAUUCAGCUUCGAUCCACCAAGCGACCCCGCUUCGGUGGAGGCUUUCGCAAAGGCAUGUCCAAACCCUCCAGGGUACCAUGUGCGGUCACCCUGGGACAGACUGACGACCGUCUUGACCUACGGGCCCUCGGGUUCCGAGGAAGAUGACGAGCCCGACUCUGGUUGGGAUUUCUCCGGGCUUGGUAACCCCAGUACCAUGCGAGACUUCAUGACCGCAUGUGACUACUGCCUCUCCAAUUGUUCCGAUGGUAGCCACAGCCUCGGUGACGAGGACUGUGGUCCAAGUCGCGAAUGUUUCCACGUCGAUCUAGGGGGUCUCGGCGAAGGUAACCAUCUUGGUAUGCCGGAGAACAGCGAUCCCCCUAGGCCUGCGCCUCGCGUUGACAUCCUUCGGGAGCUAGCUGUGGUCCUAGUCCCUGCGGGGGGGGGGGGGGGGGGGUCAGGACGCACAGCUCGAGCAAAUCCGCGAGAUGCAGGCCAGGCUCGACGAGGAGGCAGGAACACUUGCGUAGCCUCGGCUGAACCUCGGACAGGAGUGGGCAGGCCGAGCUCUGGCCGGAGAAGCGCGUCAUCUGGCCCAGGACGUCCAGCACUGCAUCGCCGACGAUACCAGGCCAAGGCUGCCCCCGGUUUCCAGUGGGGUCGGCCAGAACCUGGCUACAGCUGCGAUACUACUCCGAGCGAUGUCGGAACCCUCCACCACUGAGGGGCGACGUAUCCAGGGAGAGCUCAAGAACCUCCUGGAAGAUGCCGCGGUCCGACGGGCCGAAAGCUCUGCCUCCCGAAGGCAGGGGUACCCCCGGAGCAUCGCGCCGCGACUUCCGGAUUCGUGCGAGAAGCCUCGGUCCACACCGGGCGCACGCGCAACACGGCGCCUGCGGCCCUGGGUCGCCUCGGCAACAAGCACCACCACCGCAACCGUCGAGCCCACCUCGACGAAAGGGUGCGCCGAGGCUACCACCCCAGGCGUGGAGGACGCUACGACAGCGGGGAGGAUCGGAGCCCCUCGCCCGAACCACCCGGUCCGCAGGCUUUCACCCAGGCCAUACGACGGGCGCCGUUCCCGACCCGGUUCCGAACCCUGACUACCAUCACAAAGUACUCGGGGGAGACGAGGCCGGAACUGUGGCUCGCGGACUACCGACUGGCCUGCCAGCUGGGUGGAACAGACGAUGACAACCUCAUCAUCCGCAACCUCCCCCUAUUCCUCUCCGACACCGCUCGAGCCUAGCUGGAGCAUCUGCCUCCGGGGCAGAUCUCCAACUGGGACGACCUGGUCCAAGCCUUCGCUGGCAACUUCUAGGGCACGUACGUGCGCCCUGGGAACUCCUGGGAUCUCCGAAGCUGCCACCAGCAGCCGGGAGAGUCUCUCCGGGACUACAUACGGUGAUUCUCGAAGCAGUGCACCGAGCUGCCCAACAUCACUGAUUCCGAUGUCAUCGGCGCGUUCCUCGCCGGCACCACCUACCGCGACCUGGUGAGCAAGCUGGGUCGCAAGACCCCCACCAGGGCGAACGAGCUGAUGGACAUCGCCACCAAGUUCGCCUCUAGCCAGGAGGCGAUUGAGGCCAUCUUCUGGAAGGACAAGCAGCCCCAGGGCCGCCAGCCGGAAGACGUCCCCGAGGCAUCCGCUUAGCGCGGCGCCAAGAAGAAGAACAAGAAGAAGUCGCAAGCGAAACGCGACGCCACCGACGCAGACCUUGUCGCCGCCGCUGAGUACAAGAACCCUCGGAAACCUCCUGGAGGUGCCAAUCUCUUCGAUAAGAUGCUCAAGGAGCCGUGCCCCUAUCAUCAGGGGCCCGUCAAGCACACUCUUGAGGAGUGUGUCAUGCUUCGGCGCCACUUUCACAAGGCCUGGCCACCGGCGGAAGGUGGCAGGGCCCACAACAACGACAAGAAGGAGGACCACAAUGCAGAGGAGUUUCUCGAGGUCCACGACUGCUUCAUGAUCUACGGUGGGCAAGUGGCGAACGCCUCGGUCGGCACCGCAAGCAAGAGCGUCGGGAGGUCUGCUCGGUAAAGGUGGCGGCGCCAGUCUACCUAGACUGGUCCGACAAGCCCAUCACCUUCGACCAGGGCGACCACCCCGACCGCGUGCCGAGCCCAGGGAAAUAUCCGCUCGUUGUCGACCCCGUCAUCGGCAACGUCAGGCUCACCAAGGUCCUCAUGGACGGAGGCAGCAGCCUCAACAUCAUCUACGCCGAGACCCUUGGGCUCCUGCAGAUCAAUCUGUCCUCGAUCCGGGCAGGCGCGGCGCCUUUUCACGGGAUCAUCCCCGGGAAACGCGUCCAACCCCUCGGACAACUCGAUCUGCCCGUCUACUUCGGGACUCCCUCCAACUUCCGAAGGGAAACCCUCACGUUCGAGGUGGUCGGGUUCCGAGGAACCUACCACGCAGUGCUGGGGAGACCAUGUUACGCCAAGUUCAUGGCCGUCCCCAAGUACACCUACCUCAAGCUCAAAAUGUCGGGCCCCAACGGGGUCAUCACCGUCGGCCCCACGUACCGACACGCGUACGAAUGCGACGUGGAGUGCGUGGAGUACGCCGAGGCCCUCGCCGAAUCCGAGGCCCUCAUCGUCGACAUGGAAAGCCUCCCCAAGGAGGUUCCAGAUGCGAAGCGCCAUGUCGGCAACUUCAAACCAGCAGAGGCGGUUAAAUCCGUCCCUCUCGACCCCAGCAACGACACCUCCAAGCAGAUACGGAUCAGCUCCGAGCUCGACCCCAAAUAGGAAGCAGUGCUCGUCGACUUUCUCCGCGCAAACGCCGAUGUUUUCGCGUGGAGUCUCUCGGACAUGCCUGGCAUACCGAGGGAUGUCACCGAGCACUCGCUGGAUAUCCGAGCUGGAGCCCGACCCGUGAAGCAGCCUCUGCGCCGAUUCGACGAAGAAAAGCGCAGAGCCAUAGACGAGGAGAUUCACAAGCUGAUGGCCGCUGGGUUCAUCAAAGAGGUAUUCCAUCCCGAAUGGCUUGCCAACCCUGUGCUUGUGAGAAAGAAAGGAGGGAAAUGACGGAUGUGUGUAGACUACACUGGUCUAAACAAAGCAUGUCCGAAGGUUCCCUACCCUCUACCUCGUAUCGAUCAAAUCGUGGAUUCCACUGCUGGGUGCGAAACCCUGUCGUUCCUCGAUGCCUACUCAGGGUAUCACCAAAUCAGGAUGAAAGAGUCUGACCAGCUCGCGACUACUUUCAUCACGCCCUUUGGCAUGUACUGCUACGUUACUAUGCCAUUUGGUUUGAGGAAUGCGGGUGCAACGUACCAAAGGUGCAUGAACCACGUGUUCAGAGAGCACAUUGGUCGAACGGUCGAGGCUUAAGUCGAUGACAUCGUAGUCAAGACGAGGAAAGCCUCCGACCUCCUCUCCGACCUUGAAACGACAUUCCGGUGUCUCAAGGCGAAAGGCGUAAAACUCAAUCCCGAGAAGUGCGUCUUCAGAGUCCCCCGAGGCAUGCUCUUGGGGUUCAUCGUCUCCGAGCGGGGCAUCGAGGCCAACCCGGAGAAAAUCGCGGCCAUCACCAACAUGGGGCCCAUCAAAGACUUGAAAGGCGUACAGAGGGUCAUGGGAUGCCUUGCGGCUCUGAGCUGCUUCAUCUCGUGCCUCGGCGAAAGAGGCCUGCCUCUGUACCGCCUCUUAAGAAAGACCGAGUGCUUCACUUGGACCCCCGAGGCCGAGGAAGCCCUCGGGAACCUGAAGGCGCUCUUUACGAACGCACCCAUCCUGGUGCCCCCCGCUGCCGGAGAAGCCCUCUUGAUCUACGUCGCCGCUACCACUCAGGUGGUCAGCGCCGCGAUCGUGGUCGAGAGACAAGAAGAAGGGCAUGCAUUGCCCGUCCAGAGGCCGAUCUACUUCAUCAGUGAGGUACUGUCCGAGACCAAGAUCCGCCACCCACAAAUUCAGAAGCUACUGUUCGCGGUGAUUCUGAUGCGGCGGAAGUUGCGACACUACUUCGAGUCUGAUCCGGUAACUGUGGUGUCAUCCUUCCCCCUCGGGGAGAUCAUCCAGUGCCGGGAGGCCUCGGGUAGGAUUGCAAAGUGGGCGGUGGAAAUCAUGGGUGAGACAAUCUCGUUCGCCCCUCGGAAGGCCAUCAAGUCCCAAGUCUUGGCGGACUUUAUGGCUGAAUGGGUCGACACCCAGCUCCCGGCAGCUCCGAUCCAACCGGAACUCUGGACCAUGUUUUUCGACGGGUCGCUGAUGAAAACAGGGGCAGGCGCGGGCCUGCUCUUCAUCUUGCCCCUUGGGAAGCACCUCCGCUACGUGCUGCGCCUCCAUUUCCCGUCGUCCAACAACGUGGCUGAGUACGAGGCUCUGGUCAACGGGUUGCGCAUCGCCAUCGAGCUAGGGGUCUGACGCCUCGACGCUCGCGGUGACUCGCAGCUUGUCAUCGACCAAGUCAUGAAGAACUCCCACUACCGCGACCCGAAGAUGGAAGCCUACUGCGACGAGGUUCGGCGCCUGGAAGACAAGUUCUACGGGCUCGAGGUCAACCACGUCGCCCGACGAUACAACGAGACUGCGGACGAGCUGGCAAAGAUAGCUUCGGGGCGGACAACGGUUCCCUCGGACGUCUUCUCCCGAGACCUACAUCACCCCUCGGUCAAGACCAGCGACACGACCGAGCCCGAGGCACCCUCAGCAGAGCCCGAGGCACCCUCGGCUCAGCCUGAGGCACCCCUAGCUACCGAGUGUGAGACUCUACGCAUCGAGGAAGAGCGGAAUGGGGUCACGCCUAAUUGGAACUGGCAGACCCCAUACCUGCAAUAUCUCCACCGAGGGGAGCUACCCCUCGAUAGAGCCGAAGCUCGGCGACUGGCGCGGCGCGCCAAGUCAUUCGUCUUGCUGGGCAACAGGAAGGAGCUCUACCACCGCAGCCCCUCCGGCAUCCUCCAGCGAUGCAUAUCCAUCGCCGAAGGCCAGGAGCUCUUACAAGAAAUACACUCGGGGGCUUGCGGUCACCACGCAGCGCCUCGAGCCCUUGUUGGAAACGCUUUCUGACAAGGUUUCUACUGGCCGACCGCGGUGGACGAUGCCACUAGAAUUGUCCGCACCUGCCAAGGGUGUCAGUUCUACGCAAGGCAGACGCACCUACCCGCUCAGGCUCUGCAAACAAUACCCAUCACCUGGUCGUUUGCUGUGUGGGGUCUGGACCUCGUCGGUCCCUUGCAGAAGGCACCCAGGGGCUACACGCACCUGCUGGUCGCCAUCGACAAAUUCUCCAAGUGGAUCGAGGUCCGACCCAUAAACAACAUCAGGUCCGAACAGGCGGUGAAGUUCUUCACCAACAUCAUCCAUCGCUUUGGGGUCCCGAACUCCAUCAUCGCCGACAACGGCACCCAGUUCACCGGCAGAAAGUUCCUGGACUUCUGCGAGGAUCACCACAUCCGGGUGGACUGGGCCGCCGUGGCUCACCCCAUGACGAAUGGGCAGGUAGAGCGUGCCAACAGCAUGAUUCUGCAAGGUCUCAAGCCGAGGAUCUACAAUGACCUCCACAAGUUCGGCAGGCGAUGGAUGAAGGAACUCCCCUUGGUGGUCUGGAGCCUGAGGACGACGCCAAGUCAAGCCACAGGUUUCACGCCGUUCUUUCUAGUCUACGGGGCCGAGGCCAUCUUGCCCACAGACUUAGAAUACGGUUCCCCAAGGACGAGGGCCUACGACGACUAACGCAACCAGACCAACCGAGAAGACUCACUAGACCAGCUGGAAGAGGUUCGGGACGUGGCCUUACUACACUCGGUACGGUAUCAGCAGUCCCUGCGACGCUACCACGCCCGAGGGGUUCGGUCCCGAGACCUCCAGGUGGGCGACUUGGUGCUUCGACUACGACAAGACGCUCGAGGGCGGCACAAGCUCAUGCCUCCCUGGGAAGGGCCAUUCAUCAUCGCCAAGGUUUUGAAGCCCAGGACAUACAAGCUGGCCAACAGUCAAGGCGAGGUCUACAGCAACGCUUGGAACAUCCGACAGCUACGUCGCUUCUACCCUUAAGAUGCUUUCAAGCCAUUCAUAUACCUCGUUUACAUAUGAAGUCUAGCCAUCAAGGAAGGGUCGGCCUUGCCUCGGCAAAGCCCGACCCUCCCUCGGGGGCUAGAAGGGGCGAACCCCCUCUGCGUCAAAAUUUUCCUCGAAAAAAAGUCUUUCGGCAAGAACAUUCUUUGUGUUUUUCGACUACUUCGAUGGUGGGAUCCUGAAAACGACGGAGUACAUGUAAGCAAGGCUGACCGAGCCGAGGGACUCCUACGCCUCCGGGAUACGGAUACCUCACUCAUCACCUUCUGCGAUAAGUAACUCGCGCUCGGAUAAACGGUUCCGGUGACCGAACAAGUCUUAACGCUCAAAGACUCUUCUGCCGAAACGAUUUUUCGUGCCAUCUCGACCAUGUCGACAAAAGAAUCCUACGGACGAGUAAGAGUACACAUAAGCGGCAAGGCCGACCGAGCCGAGGGACUCCUACGCCUCCGGGAUACGGAUACCUCACUCAUCACCUUCCGUAAGAAGUAACUCUCGCUCGGAUGAACGAUUCUUCCACCGACAAGCAAGUCUUGAUACUCAAAACAAGGGGAAAAGAAACGCAGCUUUACAACACGACGACAGUAUGUUUGGGCCUCGGCGGCCGCAAAAAACAUAUGCAUACUACAGGCGAACCGAUGUUGCAGGCUCAGGUGUCGAUGGAGAGGGAGGAGCAGCACCCUCGGCGUCAACUCCACCUUUGGCGAAGUCCGACCAAGCCUCGGACGGCAACACGGGCGAAGGAUCUCCGCUCCGAAGGACGACGUCAGCACCACGCCCGGGCCAUCGCCGCUAGGGUCUCCUCCAGGAACCCGGCCCGAGCAGACAGCUCGGCCGGCUGCCCCGAAGCCUCAGCCAGCUGCCCCCUGAGGACACCAGCUCGACUCAUGGCCUCGGCAACCCGACUCCGGCGUUGGUCCCGCCAGUGGACGGCCCGGCCAGGCUCCGGCCGACGAAGCUUCCCUUUUCGAGCCAACUUCGCCUCUGUCCACGCUGACACCGCUGUCCUCGGCCCCGGCUCACCGCAGAGCAGCCGAGGGUUUCUUUGACUAAACAAGUGAAGCCUCGUGCGGCAAGGCCGACCGAGCCGAGGGAUUCCUACGCCUCCGGGAUACGGAUACCUCACUCGUCACCUUCCGCACAGAGCAACUCACAUUUGGUUAAGCGGUUCGGCUAGCCGACAGGCGAGUCCCAGUGCUCGAAAAUGAGGGAAAAAACAUGGUAUUACACCCAAAAAUACCAACAUGUUCAGGCCCCGACAGCCACAAUGAACAAACACCGACACUCAAGGUGCCAUUACAAACAGAACUCCGGUUCCACCCCGCAGGUACGAACAACCCCCCACAUUGGAGGGCCUGCGGGGCGACAAAACCCCUUGUGGCUCGCCGACGCCCGCUCCGGCAGCAGCGACAACGACCCCCGCUCCGAAGUGGCCAAACAGCAGCAACGAUGACCUCAGGGCGAACGCUGCUGCGACGAGCUCCUCGCCCACGUCCCCACUCGAGGGGCGAGGACAAGCUAUCAAAGCCAAUGAGCCAGAGGCCCGGAGCGUGGAUGGUGGCGGCGAUCUCGUCGGCAAUGAGGACUUCUUCAGCCGCCACCACCUCAACGUCGGCGACGGCAGCCAUCUGCCCACCGGCGGAUCCCCACUCGGAUCCUCCCGGACAGGCGAAGCACCGACCUCCACGCAAGAGGCGUCGUACCGGAGCAAAGGCAGGACCGCCCAAGAACACGAACGCCGCCCUAGCAGCGCGCGACGUCUUGGGCGGCCCUCUGGUGCGCGCGGCACGGCGACCGCUCGUACAGCGGGAGGGGGCACCGGGAGCCGAGCCAGCGCUAGCUGAGCCAGCGAGCCCAACGCGCUGAAGCUGACGACGCUCGCGGCCAGCCCCGCGUUGUCGGAGUCCGCCCCUUCCGCUAAGGCCAGUGAGCGCCCUCUCCCCUAAAUGCUGAAGGAGAGGAUGACCCACGAACCCGUGCGAGAGGUAGAGCUCCGGCUCAGCUCGCCCUCCGCCCCAGCAAGGAUGAUGAAGAUCCUUAAAACUGAGGGCGGGGCAGAGGCCGCAGCCUGGCUCGCUUCUCCCCACCAUCGAACUGGUGGUCACCGUCUUGGGUGACCACCGGCGAGGGGAUGCAGCCAGGCUGUCUGAUGAAAAUCCUUGAAGCCGAGCGAUGGCUGAAAGGUACCAACUUCCGUGAAGUUGUGUUCCUCCGACGACAGCAAGACAAAAGCGACGCAAGCGCUCCCCAUCCGGGGGCUUGGAAGGUGGGAGGACACGACGCAUGAGGAAAGUGCGAAGACAUGGUUGCCGUCCAAAGGGGUCACCCUCCUUUUAAAGGCGACUCUCCCCACUUGCGUCCUCAGCCGUCGCGGACUGAGUCUUCUCCAACACGCUCCAAGGUCCUCCCCCCAUGACACGGGGGCUGGGUCCCACGCGUCAUGCAAGCUGGCCCAGGAUAGAAGAAGCCAGACCGCCACGCGCGGAGCGCACAAUGGCCCAGCGGUUACAAGCAUUCCUCCACUAUCGCCCGACCCAGCGGGUGAAAGGGCGGACUGCCAUGCAGGCGGCAUGCGACCGCACCAAGAGGGCGCACCCCUCCGACUUCGCCGCGCCCAGCAUGGAGGCCCUGGCCCACACGUCAUGUAACUGGCGCGCCGGUUACUACGUGCAAGAAACUGCACCGCCACUCACGCCUGUCUCGCGCCUUCUCGACUGCGGAACCGGUGCCGCGACCCGAGGCAACCCCGCGCAUGACCCAACAGUGCCAACCGAGCACAUCGGUCACGGGUCAAUCAGCCGCGGGAGAAGGCGCGACGGUCGAUAUGGCUAGAAAUGGGCCGGCAGUAAUGGCGGCAGCAGGCGGGCAGAAGCAGCGGUCAAGUCGUCUGCAGGCUCACAUCCCCUCCUGGAACAGCGAAAGAACCCUCUCCCACGGCGUGAAGACAACGCGCCCGUGUUCCGUUCCUCGAACGGCUCGCGCACGCACAACGGCUGCCCCGCGAACCACUCGUCCCGUCGCAUUAACUCUGCGGCAGGGCAGGCGACACCUUUGGCAGGCGAAGCGGGCGACGCUUCACCUCUGCCAUAAUGACCGCAUCAAAAAAGAAAAGGUAUGCCACGACGUUCGAUUUCAUAUCCUUUUCCACUUCCUCUUUCUCUCUCUUGCCACAGGGACCGGGUGUAAGUGCAAUCAACCCUAAUUGAGGGUUUUGGUGAUUAAUGACAAAACGAACUAAGACUCUAACAAGUUUGCUCCUAGUAUGUACACAGUAUUUCUACAGACAGGAAAAGCACAGAUCUUACGAGCAUAAAAGUACAAAGCACAGCGGAUUUAAAUUCCACAUCAAAUGGCGUGCUCCAAGUGCUAAGAACCAACGGCGGUGCUAAAUUUAUAAUUCUUGAGUCAUAGGAAUCGCCGUACAAUUAAGAGGGAUCCGCGACGGUUAAGUAAGUUGUGAAAUGAGCCAAGUUCAAAAUCUUUUGAAAACUCCUUGGAGAUCAUUUUCCCAGAUCAUGAAUGCCCUUGAGAAAAACAAGUUUUACUUCUCAGCAAGACUCCCCUUUUGUUCUCUUCAAAAUUCUCAAAGUUUGGUUUCAGCCCCCAAAACCGGUUCAACCGGUCCUGAAACCGGUUCAACCGGUUUUGGUACUGUUCACCUGUCACCUCUGCUCUGACCUGUCUGACAGUCAGAGCUGUCAAAAAAAAGUCGCAGCAGAUUUUUUCCAGAAACCGGUUGAGCCGAUUUUUGUCCCUACUCAACCGGUCUUGAAACCGGUCGAGUGUCCGGCUGAGUAGCCCAGUGGACCGGGUUCCCCCUGGUAGAAACCGGUUCAACCGGUUUUUGCCCAUUUCCUCCCAACGGCUGCCAGCUUUUGGGGGGUCCUUUAUAUACCCCCUCACAUUCUCUCUCUCAUUAACUCUUACCUCUCCCACGAAUUCCUGGCUAACCAACCUUCAAACAAGAGCAUUCACUUCGCCUUUCACACCCGCAAUCGCAUCUCCUUCAAUCAUUUGAAGGACCCUUGGUGUGAGGUGAACUCGAUCGAACUCGUUGUCGAUUCCAUCUCGAUUCUCCCAUUCUCUUGUUCAUGAGCUCAUUGCAAACUUAACCGUGUGCGGAUUUGUUACUCUUGGAACCUCGUGUUCCUUGACGGUUAGAGGUUGCUUGGGAGUCUCCAAAUUUGUGGAUGACCCCAAGAAGUUUGUAUCACCCGCUCCUUGAGCAGAUUUGAGAAGAGAUUCCCUUGACCUUUGUGGUCGGUUUGUGGAGGAUUAGGGUUGGAAAAGACCCGGCCCUUUGUGGGUUCCUCAACGAGGAGUAGGACACCUUUGUGGUGGUUGCCGAACCUCGGGUUAUAUCACGCGUUCUUGUGUGUUCUUGUUAAGUGCUUUAUAUUCGGUAGUUGGUUCAUAUUAUUCAUUUAAGUAGUUUUAUGUAGGGCAAAUCUUUAGCUAUAUUAUUCACUACUUCGCACUUGUUCAAUAGAUUAUCAAAUUUAAGUUGAGCGGGUUCAAACUUGUUCAGUUGUGAUUAAAAUCGACUGAACCGGUUUGCACCUGUGCAACUUUAAUUUAACCUAUUUCGAAGUUUUUAGUGAAAUUUUUCAGGUGUAGCCUAUUCACCCCCCCUCUAGGCUACUUUCACCGGGAAAGGGGAUACUCCGAAAGGGAUCCUUCUCCACGAAGGAAACGGGCCCCGAGCCCCCCUACUGAUCAGAGGUUCGAAGGCUGGCCCCUCGAAAGGGUUUGAUAGCCGCCUCAGAGCACUCGGGCUCCGCGCCCAUUACUGGUCAGAGGUUCGAAGGUUGGCCCCUCGGGAGGGUUCAACAGCUGCCUCAGGCCACUCGGGCUCCGCGCCCAUUACUGAUCAGAGGUUCGAAGGCUGGCCCCUCGGAAGGGUUCAACGGCCGCCUUAGGCCACUCGGGCUCCGCGCCCACUACUGAUCAGGGGUUCGUAGGCUGGCCCCCGAAGGGUUCGACAGCCGCCUCAGAGCAUGCAGAGCGAGGGAUGACCCUGGGUACGUUCGAUACAUAACCAAGGCUCGGGCUACGCUCCCGAGGUACCCUAGGACAUUUCCGAGACCUGCGGGAGCGAUUUUCGUAACGGAAUCCCACCAGAGGGAGGCAUCGAGCCCUCGGACCCCGUCAAAAGGGGACCGGGUCCGGCGAAUCACCCGCAGGUACUUUUGGAGCGCGCCCCCGGGCCACUAGCCGACCCCUAACGAAUGGGGCACGGGCAUCCACUCGGAUCACCCGUUAGCAACUCACUGGAGACACCAUGUUCGGCGCCCUCCGAGGGCAACAUGGCGCUUUCCCCCCCUCCUCCUUGCAUAAAGGCGACGUAGGGGCGUAUGAAAAAAGCCGAGUCUGUCCUUGAUCGUCCUCUCGCUCUGUGUGAAGGCUUGGGGGCUGCUCUCGCGAACCCGGCUCCGGCCAAACCGUUGACAGCAUCAACAUACCAGCCCGAGAACUUGGGACUCGACUAUGCACGCGGGCUACGGCCAGUUCGCAUGAGGGAACGACCAAACCGGCCGAGCCAUCACGAAAGGCACUAAGACCUCGAAGGAGUCAAAACACUCCUCCGAGGCCUCGGGGGCUACACCCGGCGGGUGCGCUCGCGCGCACCCACCGGAGCAAAAUGCAACCGAGAAAGGCCGGUCCCCUUGCAAAAAAGUGCGACAAAAGCCUCCAAGCGAGUGCCGACACUCCCUUCGAGGCUUGGGGGCUACUGUCGGGGACCAUAAUUAGGGGUACCCCCAAGACUCCUAAUCUCAGCUGGUAACCCCCAUCAGCAUAAAGCUGCAAAGGCCUGAUGGGCGCGAUUAAGGUCAAGGCUCAGUCCACUCAAGGGACACGAUCUCGCCUCGCCCGAGCCCAGCCUCGGGCAAAGUCAGCCGACCCCGGAGGAUUCACGUCUCGCCCGAGGGCCCCCUCAAGCAACGGACGCACCUUCGGCUUGCCCAUCAAGGUGACGUGGGGGCUCCUCCGAAGCCGAGGUUGAGUCUGUCUUCUGUUGCCGAGGCCGAGUCUGAGCCCUGGGGUCGGGCGAGGCGGAGGUCGUUUGGCCGAGGCCAGGGCGGAGUCCGAGCCCUGGGGUCGGGCGAGGCGGAGUUUCGUCGUCUUCCGGGUCUUAGCCCGAGUCCGAGCCCUGGGGUCGGGCGGAGCGGAGUUCGCCGUCUUCCGGGUCUUAGCCCGAGUCCGAGCCCUGGGGUCGGGCGGAGCGGAGUUCGCCGUCUUCCGGGUCUUAGCCCGAGUCCGAGCCCUGGGGUCGGGCGGAGCGGAGUUCGCCGUCUUCCGGGUCUUAGCCCGAGUCCGAGCCCUGGGGUCGGGCGGAGCGGAGUUCGCCGUCUUUCGGGUCUUAGCCCGAGUCCGAGCCCUGGGGUCGGGCGGAGCGGAGUUCGCCGUCUUCCGGGUCUUAGCCCGAGUCCGAGCCCUGGGGUCGGGCGGAGCGGAGUUCGCCGUGGCGCCUUUGGCAAGGCCUGACUGUCUGUCUGACUCACUCUUUGCGUUAAAUGCUCCUGCAACUCGGUCAGUCGGUGUGGCGAUUUAGUCAGGGUUGCUUCUGAGCGAAGCCAAGGCCUCGGGCGAGCCGGUGAUGUGUCCGCCGUAAAAAGGGAGGCCUCGGGCGAGACGGAAGUCUCUCGAGGUCGGCUGCCCUUGGCCGAGGCUAGGCUCGGGUGAAGCGUGAUCGAGUCACUCGUGUGGACUGAUCCCUGACUUAAUCGUACCCAUCAGGCCUUUGCAGCUUUAUGUUGAUGGGGGUUACCAGCUGAGAAUUAGGCGUCUUGAGGGUACCCCUAAUUAUGGUCCCCGACAGUAGCCCCCGAGCCUCGAAGGGAGUGUUAGCACUCGCUUGGAGGCUUUCGUCGCACUUUUUUGCAAGGGGACCAGCCUUUCUCGGUUGCAUUUUGUUCUGGUGGGUGCGCGCGAGCGCACCCGCCGGGUGUAGCCCCCGAGGCCUCGGAGGAGUGGUUACACUCCUUCGAGGUCUUAAUACCUUGCGUAAUGCUUCGGCUGGUCUGGUCGUUCCCUCAUGCGAACUGGCCGUAGCCCGGGUGCACGGUCGGGGCCCAAGCUCUCGGGCUGGUAUGUUGACGCUGUCAACGGUUUGGCCGGAGCCGGUUUUUGCGAGAGCAGCCCCCGAGCCUCUGCACAGGGCGAGAGGACGAUCAGGGACAGACUCGACUUUUUACAUACGCCCCUACGUCGCCUUUCUGCAAGGAGGAGGGGGGAGUGCGCCAUGUUACCCUCGAUGGGCACCGAACAUGGUGUCUCCGGUGAGCUGCAAGCGGGUAAUCCGAGUGGGCGUCCGUGCCCCGUUCGUUGGGGGUCGGCUAGGGGCCCAGAGGCACGCCCAAAAGUACCUGUGGGUGAUUUGCCGGACCCGGUCCCCUGGCGACGGGGUCCGAGGGCUCGAUGCCUCCCUCCGAUGGGAUUCCGUUACAAGAUCGUUCCCGCUGGUCUCGGAAAUGUCCUAGGGUACCUCGGGAGCGCAGCCCGAGCCUCGGUUAUGUAUCGAACGUACCCCUGGUCAUCCCUCGCUCGGUGUCUGAGGUGACUGUGAACCCUUCGGGGGCCAGCCUUCGAACCCCUGAUCAGUAAUGGGCGCGGAGCCCGAGUAGCCUGAGGCGGCCAUGGAGCCCUUCGGGGGGCUGGCCUUCGAACCCCUGACCAGUAGUGGGUGUCGGGCCCACGCGAUCUGAGGCGACUGUUGAACCCUUCGGAGGGCCAGUCUUCGAACCCCUGAUCAGUAGGGGGGGCUCGGAGCCCGGUUCCUUCGCGGAAAAGGAUCCUUUUCGGGGUAUCCCCCUUUCCCGGUCCCUGUUGCAAGAGAUAGAGAAAGAGGAAAAAGGAAAAGGAAACGAAAUCGAACGACGUGGCGUACCUCUUUUUGACGCGGUUAUUACGGCGAAGGUGAAGCGUCGCGCGCUUCUCCCGCCAGAGGCGCCGCGUGUCCCGCCGCGAAGUUAAUGCGGCGGGGCGAGUGGUUGGCGAGGCGGCCAUUGCGCGUGCGCGAUUCGUUCGAGGAACGGGUCACGGGCGCACCGUCUUCACGCCGUGGGAGGAGGCUCUCUUGCUGCCCCAGGAUGAGACGUGAGCCUGGCUGACGACGUGACUGCUGCGCCCGCCCGCCUGCCACCGCCAUCACUGCUGGCCCACUUUCGGUCGCUUUGACCAACGCGCCAGGCUAGCGCCGCUGGGUCGCCUCGAGUCGCGGCAUAGGCUCCGCAACCGAAGAGGCGCGACGGUGGCGCAAGUGGCGGUGCGGUUGCUUGCAUGCAGCAACUGACGCGCCGGUUGCUUGACGCGUGGGCCUGGGCUUCCGAGCUGGCGUGUCAGAAGUCGGAGAAGCGCGUCCACCUGGCGCGGUUGCAUGCCGUCUGCACGGCUGCCCGCCCCUUCCGCCCGUUGGUCUGGGCAAAAGUGGGGGGUCGCUUGUAACCGCUAGACAGUCGUGCGCACCACGCGCGGCGGUUUGGCUUCUUCUGCCCUGAGCUGGUUUGCAUGACGUGUGGGACCCAGCCCCCGAGUCGCAGGGGAGGGCCUUGGAGCGUGUUGGAGAAGACUCAGCCCGCGGCGUCUGGGGGCGCACGUAGGGAGAGUUGCCUUUAAAAGGAGGGAGACUCCUUUCGGAAGGCAACCAUGUCUUCUUCCUCCCUUAUGCGUCGUGUCUUUCCAUUUUCCAAGCCCCCGGAUGGGGGGUAUCCGCCGCCUUUCCGCCUCCUUGUUGGAGGAACGCAACCCCGUGGGAGUUGGUACCUCUCAGCCAUCGUUCGGCUUCAAGGAUUUUCAUCAUGCAGCCCGGCUGCUCCCCUCCACCGGCGGUCACCCGAGAUGGUGACCUCCGGCUUGAUGGUGGGGGAAAGCGAGCCGGGCUGCGGCCUCUGCCCCUCCCUUAGCCUCAAGGAUUUUCAUCACCAGGGCUGGGGAGGGGAGUGCGCCGAGUUGAGGUCAGCCCCCGUGUGGGCGGCGGCCCGCUCCUUCACUCAGUGAUGGGGGGGAGGAGCGGUUGUUGUCCGUGGCGCUGGCAACUGCAGCGUGCCCGGUCUUCAAACGCGAGUGGCUUCGGAGCCGCUCGCGGCGCCGGCGUCCGCCACGGCAGCUGGAAGAGGUUCUUCCGCCGGCACGAUAGCCGGGGCCGGCCACGGACUGACCUCCAACUCUACGGCCUUCUGUCCGUCCUUGCCUCACGAGUUUUGUCGUGGGCGGGGGCCUCCUGGCGGCAGCAUCCGCCCUAGGGUCAGUGCUGCCGCUGUUCGACCCCCCGGAGCAGAAGUCGUCGUCGUCGCCGCUGCUGGAGCAGGUGACGGCGCGCCGUUCGUCGGCCUUCCGUUGCUCCGCAGGCCUUCCCCCUCGGAGUGGGGUUGUUCGUACCUGCGGAGGGGGAACCGGAGUUCCGUUCGUAAUGGCACUUCGAAUGCCAGUGUGUUUGUUCAUUGUGGCUGUCGGGGCCUGAACCUGUAUGUAAUUUCGGCACGGAGCCGUGUUUUUUCCUCAUUUUCGAGCACUAAGUCUCGCUUGUUGGUUAUCUGAACCGCUUUACCAAGCAUGAGUCGCCCCGUGUCAAGGUGACGAGUGAGGUAUCCGUAUCCCGGAGGCGUAGGAGUCCCUCGGCCCGUUCGGCCUUGUUGUCUGGGGCUCCUCUAGCUUAGUCAAAGAGACCCCUCGGCUGCCCUUCGAUGAGCCGAGGCCAGGGGUAGCGAUAUCAGUAUGAACAGAGGCGGAGUUGGCUCGAGAAUGAGAACCUGGUUGGCCGAAGCCUAGUCGUGUUGUCCGUCAGCGGAGCCGACGCCAAAGUCGAUCCGCCGAGGCCUCGGGUCGGGCUGGCGCCCUUGGAAGCCGGUUGGUCGAGUCCCCAGGGGUAACCGGCCGAGCCGCCUGCUCGGGCCGGAUUCCCGGAGGGGUCCCUGGACCGCGCCGCUAGGGCUGGACGAAAAACUCAUAGCUCGUUAACUCGCUCGACUCGACUCGAUAGUGGUUCAACUCGACUCGGCUCGUUUAUAAUUUGUAACGAGUUGAGCUUGUAUUUCAACUCGUUAUGAUAACGAGCCAGCUCGAGCUGGCUCGUGAGCUAACUCGCGAGCCAAAUGAGUUGGAGUAAUUAGUCAAAUCACAAUAAUCUCCGAUCCAAAAUAGUUAAUCUUGUACUCUACUAUAGUUAAUAUUGUUAUUUGUUGAGUGUGGAAUCUUAAGUUGCAAACUCUAUUAUUUUUUCUAAAUAAGAUCUCCUUCUUUUCUUUUGCUACAUGUUUUUAUAUCCGUUCAUAAACACUAGACAUGGUAUUAUCGAGCUGGCUCGCGAGCUAAACGAGCCAGCUCGAGUUGGCAAACGAGUCGAGCCGAGUUGGAUCCUUAGCUCGUUAACAUAACGAGUCGAGCCGAGUCAGCUCGUUAUCUUAACGAGCCAGUUCGAGUCGAGUCGAGCCGAGCCGAGCCAGCUCGAUAUCCACCCCUACGCGCCGCCGUCCGAGGCUGGGUCGGACAUAGCUGAAGACGCCGUCGAUGCCGAGGGUGUCGUCGCCUCCCUUCAGCGUGAAGACCCGAGCCUGCAGGAUCAGAUCGUCUUGUAGCGUGUGCCUUCUGUGGCCGCCGAGGCCAGAAAACACACCCUCGCCGUGCUUGCGAAGCUGCGUCUUUUUUCCUCUUGUUUCGAGCAUCUGGACUCUGUCGGUAACAGGGAUGUUUGUGUGAGCGAGAGUUGCUUCUCGCGGAAGGGACGAGUGAGGUAUCCGUAUCCCAGAGGCGUGGGAAUCCCUCGGCUCGGUCGGCCUUGCCGCUUACGCGUACUUUCACCCGUUCAUGAGGCCCUGUCCCCGACUUAGUCGAGAAAGCUUGAAGGACUGCUUCGGCAGGAGAGCUUCCGAACGUGAAGACUUGCUCGGUCCACGAAGUCGCUUUAUCCGAGCGCGAGUUACUUAUCGCAGAAGGUGAUGAGUGAGGUAUCCGUAUCCCGGAGGCGUAGGAGUCCCUCGGCUCGGUCAGCCUUGGCUGCUUACGUGUACCCCGUCGUUUCCAGGAUCCGCUUUCCGAAGUAGUCAAGAAGCACGAAAGUAAUCCUGCUAGAAAGAGAUCCUUUUUCGAGGAAAAAUUCGACGCAGAGGGGGUCUCUCCCCUUUUAGCCCCCGAGGGAGGGUCGGGCUUUGCCGGGGCUAGGCCGACCCUUCCUUGACGACUAAACUUUGCGUAGGUGCGAGGUAUAUGAACAACUUGGAAACAUCUUAAGGGUAGAAGCGACGUAGCUGUUUGAUGUUCCAGACGUUGCCGUAGAUCUCGCCUUGAUUGUUGGCCAGCUUGUAUGUUCCGGGCUUCAGAACUUUGGCGAUGACGAAUGGCCCUUCCCAGGGGGGCGUGAGCUUGUGCCUCCCUCGGGCGUCUUGCCACAGCCGAAGCACCAGAUCGCCCACCUGGAGGUCUCGGGACCGGACCCCUCGGGUGUGGUAGCGUCGCAGGGACUGUUGGUACCGCGCCGAGUGUAGUAAGGCCCUGUCCCGAGCCUCCUCCAGCUGGUCCAGCGAUUCUUCUCGGCUAGCUUGGUUGCUUUGAUCGGUGUAGGCCCUCGUCCUCGGGGAGCCGUAUUCCAGGUCAGUGGGCAAGAUAGCUUCAGCCCCGUAGACCAGGAAAAACGGCGUGAAACCCGUGGCGCGACUCGGCGUCGUCCUUAGGCUCCAGACCACCGAGGGGAGUUCCUUCAUCCACCGCUUGCCGAACUUGUUGAGGUCGUUGUAGAUCUGAGGCUUGAUCCCUUGUAGAAUCAUGUCGUUGGCACGCUCUACUUGCCCAUUCGACAUGGGAUGAGCCACGGCGGCCCAGUCCACCCGGAUAUGGUGAUCCUCGCAAAAAUCCAAGAAUUUUUUGCCGGUGAACUGGGUGCCGUUGUCGGUGAUGAUGGAGUUCGGGACCCCGAAGCGAUGGAUGAUGUUGGUGAAGAACGCCACCGCCUGCUCGGACCUGAUGCUGUUCAGAGGUCGGACCUCGAUCCACUUGGAGAAUUUGUCGAUGGCGACCAGCAGGUGCGUGUAGCCCCCGGGCGCCUUCUGCAAGGGACCGACGAGGUCCAGACCCCAUACGGCGAAGGGCCAGGUGAUGGGUAUCGUCUGUAGAGCCUGAGCGGGCAGGUGGGUCUGCUUCGCAUAGAAUUGGCACCCUUCGCAGGUGCGGACAACUCUAGUGGCGUCAGCCACCGCCGUUGGCCAGUAGAAGCCUUGCCGGAAAGCAUUCCCGACAAGGGCUCGGGGCGCCGCGUGGUGGCCGCAAGCCCCCGAGUGUAUUUCUUGCAGCAGUUCCCGACCUUCGGCGAUGGAGAUGCAUCGCUGGAGGAUGCCCGAGGGGCUGCGACGGUAGAGCUCCUCUUCAUCGCCCAGCAAGACGAACGACUUGGCGCGUCGCGCUACCCGCCGAGCCUCGACUUGGUCGGGGGGUAGCUCUCCUCGACGGAGAUAUUGCAGGUACGGGGCCUGCCAAUCUCGAUCAGGCGUGGCCCCGCUCUGCUCUUCCUCGACGUCCAGUGCCUCGCCCUCGGGGGCCGAGGGUACCUCGGGCUGAGCCGAGGGUGCCUCAGGCCGAGCUGAGGGCGCCUCGGCUUGAGCCGAGGGUGCCUCGGGCUCGGGCACGUCGUCGAUCUUGACAGAGGGUCGAUGCAGAUCCCGGGAGAAGACGUCCGGGGGGACCGUCGUUCGCCCCGAGGCUAUUUUAGCCAGCUCGUCUACGGUUUCGUUGUAGCGCCGAGCGAUGUGGUUGAGCUCGAGCCCGAAGAACUUGUCUUCCAGGCGCCGAACCUCGUCGCAGUAGGCCUCCAUCUUUGGGUCGCGGCAGUGGGAGUUCUUCAUGACUUGGUCAAUGACGAGCUGCGAAUCACCACGGGCGUCGAGGCGUCUGACUCCUAGCUCGAUGGCGAUCCGCAACCCGUUGACCAGAGCUUCGUACUCGGCCACAUUGUUGGACGCCGGGAAAUGGAGGCGUAGCACGUAGCGCAGGUGCUUUCCAAGGGGCGAGAUGAAGAGCAGGCCCGCGCCGGCUCCUGUCUUCAUCAGCGACCCGUCGAAAAACAUGGUCCAGAGCUCCGGUUGGAUCGGAGCCGUCGGCAACUGGGUGUCAACCCAUUCGGCCACGAAGUCCGCCAACACCUGGGACUUGAUGGCCUUCCGAGGGGCGAACGAGAUCGUUUCGCCCAUGAUUUCCACCGCCCACUUUGCGAUCCUGCCCGAGGCCUCUCGGCACUGGAUGAUCUCCCCCAGGGGGAAGGAUGACACCACAGUUACCGGAUGAGACUCGAAGUAGUGUCGCAGCUUCCGCCUUGUCAGGAUCACAGCAUAUAGCAGCUUUUGAACUUGUGGGUAGCGGAUCUUGGUCUCGGACAGCACUUCGCUGACAAAGUAGACCGGCCUCUGAACGGGCAAUGCAUGCCCUUCCUCUUGCCUCUCGACCACAAUCGCGGCGCUAACCACCUGUGUGGUCGCGGCAACGUAGACCAAGAGGGCUUCUCCAUCCGCCGGGGGCACCAAGACAGGCACCUUCGUAAGGAGCGCCUUCAGGUUGCCGAGGGCUUCCUCGGCCUCAGGGGUCCAAGCGAAACACUCGGCCUUCCUUAAGAGGCGGUACAGAGGCAGACCUCUUUCGCCGAGGCGUGAGAUGAAGCGGCUCAGGGCCGCGAGGCAUCCCAUGACCCUGUGUACACCUUUUAAGUCCCUGAUGGGCCCCAUGCUGGUGAUGGCCGCGAUCUUCUCCGGGUUGGCUUCAAUGCCUCGCUCGGAGACGAUGAACCCUAGGAGCAUGCCUCGGGGCACCCCGAAGACACACUUCUCAGGAUUGAGCUUGACUCCUUUCGCCUUGAGACAUCGGAAUGUCACUUCAAGGUCGGAGAGGAGGUCGGAAGCCUUCAUUGUCUUGACUACGAUGUCAUCGACGUAGGCCUCGACUGUGCGACCGAUGUGUUCACCGAACACAUGGUUCAUGCACCGCUGGUACGUCGCGCCCGCAUUCCUCAAACCGAACGGCAUGGUGACAUAGCAGUACAUGCCGAACGGCGUGAUGAAAGAAGUCGCGAGCUGGUCGGACUCUUUCAUCCGGAUCUGGUGAUACCCUGAGUAGGCAUCGAGGAAGGAUAGGGUUUCGCACCCAGCGGUGGAAUCCACGAUUUGAUCGAUGCGGGGCAGAGGGUAGGGAACCUUCGGACAUGCUUUGUUGAGACCAGUGUAGUCUACACACAUCCGCCAUUUCCCCCCUUUCUUCCUCACAAGUAUAGGGUUGGCGAGCCAUUCGGGAUGGAAUACCUCUUUGAUGAACCCUGCUGCCAUUAGCUUGUGGAUCUCUUCGCCAAUCACUCUCGCUUCUCCUUGUCGAAUCGGCGCAGAGACUGCCUGACGGGUCGGGCUCCGGCCCGAAUAUCCAGCAAGUGCUCGGCGACAUCCCUCGGUAUGCCGGGCAUGUCCGAGGGACUCCACGCAAAGACGUCGGUGUUUGCGCGGAGAAAGUCGACGAGCACUGCUUCCUGUUUGGGGUCGAGCCCGGAACCGAUCCGGACCUGCUUGGUGGUGUCGCCACUGGGGUCAAGAGGGACGGCCUUAACCGUCUCUGCUGGCUCGAAGUUGCCGGCAUGGCGCUUCACGUCUGGCACCUCCUUGGAGAGGUUCUCCAGGUCGGCGAUGAGGGCCUCGGACUCGGCGAGGGCCUCGGCGUACUCCACGCACUCCACGUCGCAUUCGAACGCGUGUUUGUACGUGGGGCCGACGGUGAUGACCCCGUUGGGGCCCGGCAUCUUGAGCUUCAGGUAGGUGUAGUUGGGGACGGCCAUGAACUUCGCGUAACAUGGCCUCCCUAGUACGGCGUGGUAGGUUCCUCGGAACCUGACCACCUCGAACGUCAGGGUCUCCCUUCGGAAGUUGGAGGGCGUCCCGAAACAGACGGGGAGGUCGAGUCGCCCGAGGGGCUGGACGCGCUUCCCAGGGAUGAUCCCGUGGAAGGGCGCAGCGCCUGCUCGGACGGAGGACAGAUCGAUGCGCAGGAGCUUGAGGGUCUCGGCGUAGAUGAUGUUGAGGCAGCUGCCCCCAUCCAUCAGGACCUUGGUGAGCCUGACAUUGCCGACAACGGGGUCGACGACGAGCGGGUAUUUCCCCGGGCUCGGCACAUGGUCGGGGUGGUCGGCCUGGUCGAAGGUGAUGGGCUUGUCGGACCAGCCUAGGUAGACUGGCGCCGCCACCUUCACCGAGCAGACCUCCCGGCGCUCUUGCUUGCGAUGCCGAGCCGAGGCAUUCGCCGCAUGCCCUCCAUAGAUCAUGAAGCAGUCGCGGACCUCGGGGAACUCUCCUGCUUGGUGAUCUUCGUUCUUGUCGUCGUCGCGGGCCCUGCCACCCUCGGCGGGUGGCCCGGCCCUGUGGAAGUGACGCCGAAGCAUAAUGCACUCCUCGAGGGUGUGCUUGACGGGCCCCUGAUGGUAGGGGCACGGCUCCUUGAGCAUCUUGUCGAAGAGGUUCGCACCUCCAGGGGGCUUCCGAGGGUUCUUGUACUCGGCGGCGGCGACAAGGUCCGUGUCAGCGGCGUCGCGUUUCGAUUGCGACUUCUUCUUGCCUUUCUUCUUGGCGCCGCGCGGAGCAGACGCCUCGGGAGCCUCUUCCGAUGGGCGGCCCUGGGGCUGCUUGUCCUUUCGGAAGAUAGCCUCGACCGCCUCCUGGCCAGAGGCGAACUUAGUGGCGAUGUCCAUCAGCUCGCUCGCCCUGGUGGGGGUCUUGCGACCCAGCUUGCUCACCAGGUCGCGACAAGUGGUGCCGGCGAGGAACGCGCCGAUGACAUCCGAGUCGGUGAUGUUGGGCAGCUCGGUGCGCUGCUUCGAGAAUCGCCGGAUGUAGUCCCGGAGCGACUCCCCCGGCUGUUGCCGGCAGCUUCGAAGGUCCCAGGAAUUCCCGGGGCGCACGUACGUGCCCUGGAAAUUCCCAGCGAAGGCUUGGACCAAGUCGUCCCAGUUGGAGAUCUGCCCCGGAGGCAGGUGCUCCAACCAGGCGCGAGCAGUGUCGGAGAGGAACAGGGGGAGGUUACGGAUGAUGAGGUUGUCGUCGUCCGUCCCACCCAGUUGGCAGGCAAGGCGGUAGUCCGCGAGCCACAGUUCCGGCCUCGUUUCCCCCGAGUACUUCGUGAUAGUAGUCGGGGGUCGGAACCGGGUCGGGAAUGGCGCCCGUUGGAUGGCCCGACUGAAGGCCUGCGGACCGGGUGGUUCGGGCAAGGGACUUCGAUCCUCCCCGCUGUCGUAGCGCCCCCCACGCUUGGGGUGGUAGCCUCGGCGCACCCUUUCGUCGAGGUGGGCCCGACGGUCGCGUCGAUGGUGCUCGUUGCCGAGGUGGCCCGGGGCCGCAGGCGCGGUGUUGCACGUGCGCCCGGUGUAGACCGAGGCUUCCCACAUGAAUCGGGAAGUCGCGGCAUGAGGUUCCGAGGGAUGUCCUUGCCUUCGGGAGGCAGUGCUCUCGGCCCGUCGGGCCGCAGCGCCUUCCAGGAGAUUCUUGAGCUCUCCCUGGAUUCGCCGACCCUCGGUGGUUGAUGGCUCCGGCAUCGCGCGGAGGAGCAUCGCUGCGGCUGCCAGGUUCUGACCAACCCCGCUGGAUGCGGGCGGCGGCCUGACCCUGACAUCGUUGGCGACGCGGUGCUGGAGACCUUGGGGCAGGUGACGUAUUUCUCCGGCCAGGGGUUGGUCCGCCCAUACCUGCCCGACGUCCCGACGGAUCGGCUCAAGCGCUCCUGUUCCCUCGUUGAGCCUGGCCUGCGCCUCGCGGACUUGCUCGAGUUGUGGGUCGUAACCCCCCGCCGGAGCGGGGACCACAGCUAGCUCCCGUGGGAUGUCGGCGCGAGGCACCGGCCUAGGAAGAUCACCGUCCUCCGGCAUGCCGAGACGGUUGCCUUCGGAGGGAUCCCCUAGCUCGAUGUGGAAACAUUCGCGGCUUGGGCCGCAGCUCUCGUCGCCAAGGCUGCGGCUUCCGUCGGAACAGUCGGAUAGGCAGUAGUCACAUGCGGUCAUGAAGUCCCGCAUGGCACUGGGGUUGCCAAGUCCGGAGAAAUCCCCACAGACGCUGGGGUCGUCAUCUUCCUCGGACCCAGAGGGCCCGUAGGUCGAGACGUCCGUCAGCCGGUCCCAAGUUGACCGUAUACGAAACCCCAGUGGGGUUGCACUCGCCUCAAUGAGAGCGCCCGCCAAAGCGAGGUCGUUUGGCGGGUUGAGGCCGAGUCGAAAUGACGUAAGAUGGGAGUUAGUCGGUACCUUUUGGUCGACGAGGAGCGACGUAGUCGCAUCGGGGACUGGUUGCACCGUCAUCUCAGGUACGAGGGCGACGUCCUGCAGGCUUUCCGCGAGCGCGCCGGCGUCGUCUUCUUGCUCGGGGUCAGCGUGUCGCGGGGGGACGGCGCUUGCCUUCGUCUUGAACGCGAGGUCGACGUCCGGCGUGCCUUCUGUCGGGGCGUCAGGGGCGUCGAUUCGCUCGACGGCCAACGAAGCGCGGCCCCCCGCUUGGCCUCGAUGGCCCCGCCUCCUCCUCCGUUGGCGGGGGAGAGAACGGAGCGAGCUCGAAUGUUGUUCUCCCACCACGUGGGGAAGGUGUCGUCGAUUCCGCCGCCGGCGAGCGGGUUGUCGGCCGCCAUUGUCGUUGUCGCGCGGCGGUGGAAGAAGUAUCAUGUCGUAGCUGCCGUCGAAGGACAUGAACUCAAGAGUCCCGAAACGAAGCACCGCCCCGGGCCGGAGAGGUUGCUGGAGAUUGCCCAUCUGGAGCUUGACGGGGAGCUGUUCGUCAGCACGCAGCAGGCCCCUACCUGGCGCGCCAACUGUCGGCGUUUCGAGACAGGGGGGUCCCAAAGCCGACGAGUGAGUGUGCUGCGUGCCCCAGCCCAGAUGGGUCGAGCGCGUGGGCGAGCGCGAAGGGGGGAGAGGCGAGGUGGCCGGAGUCGAGCGUGAGAGAGGUGGAAGUCCCGCGGCCUUCGUGUUCGUCCCGCGCCCAGGUCGGGUGCGCUUGCAGUAGGGGGGUUACAAGCGUCCACGCGGGUGAGGGAAGCGAGCGGCCCCAAGAGAGCGCCUGUCCCGUCCUCGGUCCCGCGCGGCCAACCUCCUCUAAGAAGGCCCUAGUCCUCCCUUUUAUAGUCGUAAGGAGAGGAUCCAGGUGUACAAUGGGGGGUGUAGCAGAGUGCUACGUGUCUAGCGGAGAGAGAGCUAGCGCCCUAGGUACAUGCCAAUGUGGCAGCCGGAGAGGUCUUGGCACCUUGCUGGCGUGAUGUCGUGGCUGUCGGAGGUGCGACGGAGCCUGGUGGAGGGACAGCUGUUGGAGCGGUCGAGUCCUUGCUGACGUCGCCCUGCUUCCGUAAGAGAGCUGGGGGCCGCCGUCGUCACAGAGCUUGUGGAGCGCCAUCAUUGCCCAUCCGGCGGAGCUGGCCGGAUGGGACGCCGGUCUUGUUCUCCGUGACCCGAGUUGAUUCGGGGUAGGAUGAUGAUGACGCUUCCUGUUGACGUGGCGGGUCUGUGCCCUAGGCGGGGUGACGUGGGGGCUCCUCCGAAGCCGAGGUUGAGUCUGUCUUCUGUUGCCGAGGCCGAGUCCGAGCCCUGGGGUCGGGCGAGGCGGAGGUCGUUUGGCCGAGGCCAGGGCGGAGUCCGAGCCCUGGGGUCGGGCGAGGCGGAGUUUCGUCGUCUUCCGGGUCUUAGCCCGAGUCCGAGCCCUGGGGUCGGGCGGAGCGGAGUUCGCUGUCUUCCGGGUCUUAGCCCGAGUCCGAGCCCUGGUGUCGGGCGGAGCGGAGUUCGCCGUCUUCCGGGUCUUAGCCCGAGUCCGAGCCCUGGUGUCGGGCGGAGCGGAGUUCGCCGUCUUCCGGGUCUUAGCCCGAGUCCGAGCCCUGGGGUCGGGCGGAGCGGAGUUCGCCGUCUUCCGGGUCUUAGCCCGAGUCCGAGCCCUGGGGUCGGGCGGAGCGGAGUUCGCCGUCUUCCGGGUCUUAGCCCGAGUCCGAGCCCUGGGGUCGGGCGGAGCGGAGUUCGCCGUCUUCCGGGUCUUAGCCCGAGUCCGAGCCCUGGGGUCGGGCGGAGCGGAGUUCGCCGUGGCGCCUUUGGCAAGGCCUGACUGUCUGUCUGACUCACUCUUUGCGUUAAAUGCUCCUACAACUCGGUCAGUCGGUGUGGCGAUUUAGUCAGGGUUGCUUCUGAGCGAAGCCAAGGCCUCGGGCGAGCCGGUGAUGUGUCCGCCGUAAAAAGGGGGGCCUCGGGCGAGACGGAAGUCUCUCGAGGUCGGCUGCCCUUGGCCGAGGCUAGGCUCGGGUGAAGCGUGAUCGAGUCACUCGUGUGGACUGAUCCCUGACUUAAUCGUACCCAUCAGGCCUUUGCAGCUUUAUGCUGAUGGGGGUUACCAGCUGAGAAUUAGACGUCUUGAGGGUACCCCUAAUUAUGGUCCCCGACAGUAAGGCUCUCUCUCUCCCACGCGAACGCUUGUAACCCCUACUGCAAGCGCUUUCAGCCGCCCUGGGCGCAGGACAACACGAAGGCCGCGGUUUCUCCUCGCUGUUCUCCCCCCUUUGUGUUCCGUCUCGCGCCGACCCAUCUGGGCUAGAGCACGCAACGACAAUUUACUCGUCGGUCCAGAGACCCUCGGGGUCGAAACGCCGACAACUUUCAACCCUGUGUAUGGCGGCGCCACUGUUCCACGUUGGAAUUACGACGAUGCUCGGCGCCCUCACCAGUGCAAGAUCGAACGCUGACACACUUUAACAGGAAAUAGAGAAGGUGACGACGAAGGGGUAGAUACACUUACCAAUAUCGGCGACAGAGAUCGUGUCGAUGCUAGCCUCGACCAGCCAUGGUUUGGAAGUGAAUUCUAGACUCCAGAGGAAACACAAUAGGGCCCUGGCAUGGACGCAUGGUGCCCUGACGUGUAGAGUGGAGACGACGAGCUGAUGGCAAAGGGGCGCCCGACAUCUAGCCAUGGGGGCAGCACUUGAGGGCUCUGUAGAGGAGCACCUACGUGUGUCCACAUGGGAGCCUAGAGGAGGCAGGAAAAGCUUCGGGAGGAAGGUACCCAGCGGCUGGAAGAAAAAUUAGAAGAGAAGAGGGAUGGCGUCUGGACAUAAAUAUGCCCCACAACCACGAAUCCUA